AAGGUCGGUGGCAAUUGGCGGCAGUUUGGUGACAAUUCGGUGGUAUGCGUGAGGCGCAGCAGGGAGGUUGGGCUGGAGCAAGUAUUCUAAACAAGCAAGGCAGAGGGUGGAGUAAGUACUCUAAGCAAGCAACGAAUGUGUGAGGGGCCAGCUAAAAGUGCAUCAAGAUCAUGAGUUAGACAUGGAGCAAGAGUAGCAAUAAGUUUAAAGAGUAGAUCAAAAAACAUUGUGAUAGUGUGUAGAAGAGAGUUGUGUUGAUAAUGUAUUGAGAAUGUUUAUAAAGACACAAGAGUAGUAGUAAGUAAUACAUACUCACACAUACAAGAGUAAUAGUAAGUAAUACACACAAGAGGGUUUCUAAGGAGAGAGCUUCACACAUAAAAAUUACUUGAUCUAGUUGUGUCUUGUAUAUAAGAGGAGAAAUGAAGAAGAUAAACAAUUCUUCUCCACUACAUUCCAAAUACUUUAGCUACAAUAUUUACUAUAGUCUAUAUUAAAUAUUAUGGAGAGUGCCGGCUACAUUUAAUGCUCUCAACACUUUAAAGAUCGAUUUGCUAGUUGUAAGGAUUUCGUUCUUUGUGGCAUAGAAUACGUUCAUUCAAGAUAACUUCAUCCAUCCAUGUUUAAUUUUUAAUCUUUUAUGAAAAACCGAUUAACUUUGAAAGUUAUACUGAGGACAUAUAUAUAUUUCAUACAUUCCUCGAUACAUUUUGCAUGAUAAAUUAUAUUUCAAAAGUACACGAACAUUCCAACAAACAUGUAUCAUUCUUUUUAUCUUUCUCAUUUCCAAAUGACAUUCUAAUGCAGGUUGACAUAUCUAACAGGUUGUAUACAGAUUGUUUGAUUCAUUUCUAUUAUCCAUUUAAUAUCAGUAGAAUUUGGAAUCUAUUUAUAUUUUCAUCAGAAUGAUAAAAAAAGCUUAUACUGAUAAGUUUUCAUGUAUACUAUGCAGUGUGAUCGUGUGGGUGGGCAGUUCCAAUUCCAAACAAUACAAGAAACUUUAUACACAUUUGUGUAUGUGUACAGACACAUACAUACAUACAUUGAUUCUUUCUUAAAUGAGUUUGGUGAAUAUGUUGGAUAUUGAAUGUGUUCAACUGUGCUACUUGGGCCUGAAACUUUAUCCUAUUGCACUAUAUAUCUUUGAACGCAUCAAAUAAUGCAUAUAUUUAGGAGCAAGGCACAACAAUGAAAAUUCAUCAUACAACUAAAGGAGCCCUUGAAAACAUUUGACUAAUCAUUCAAUCAACAAACUAAAAAGUCAAAAACUAUAUAUUUGUUCGAGUGGGAUCCUUACAACAAAAUUAAAGAAACGUUAGUUCAGUCUAAUGAAAUAUAUAAUUUACUCUACUUGGCUUUUUUUUAAAGUAGUACUAGUAACGAUCAUAAUAGUAUUAAUAAUCAUAACAGAAUCACAGACCCUACGGGUUAAUAAAAGAAUUAUUAUGCUAAAAAUGACGUGGCAAGUAGUUGACUUGGGGGGAGGGGGUUUUCGGCGAAGCCGCGCCGUGUCAGUGCAAGCCGAGGAACUGCAGAAUGAGUGUGGAGACUGUCUGCAACCUGGUUGAAUGGGAGGCGCAGUGUACCCAGUGUAUUCAUUUGGCGGCCUUGCCCUCAUGAUCCAGCCCCCUUCUCCUUGAGCUUGCAGGUGUUCUGGCCUCCAUCAAGUCUCUUCUACCCAAUUCCAAACAACCGCGCUCAUCAUCAAUGCAACCCACAAAACAGAAAAGAGCCAUAAAAUCUCGGCGUUUGGGGGUCGAAUGUGGGUGCAGCUCAUCAGAAUCACAGUUGUGGGUAUACCCGGAUCGUCAAUAUUGAAGCAUGAUGAUGUUUGUAAUAAUUCGGGAGAAAAACGAAGACCGGCUCAUUAAAUGGCUCUGAAACAGCGGCAAAAGGGGGUGGGGGGAGGGGGGAUUCAACAAACGUACUUUCUUGUUGGGGACAACUCAGGCUCCGGAGCAGUAGCUCAAGUGUGCUAAUCUGUGAUAGCAGACACGGAAAGAACCCUGGCUUGUUGUCUGGUUCCAUGCUCAGUACUGUGCUUUUUUACCAGACCAGCAGCAUGUAAUCCUUGUACUUCGGCAGACAUCAGAUGGUUUGUACAGAAACCCCUCACAGGAAAUGUCCAUGUUCCAGCGAAUCGCAGAAGAAUUACCGUAGCAUCAAACCUGCAAAUUGCAGGUACAGGUCGUUUCAGAAAACUGCGUGCUCAAUUUUACCGAGCAGAGCAAUCUUCGAUUCGGUUGUGUGAAGCAGGUCAUGCGCCAAACUCUGUCUAUCGCCAUAAGAACAACCAUCUGCUGCACGCGCUUGCACUUGAAUUUUUUUUUUUUUUUUUUUUUUUUUUUUUGUAGAGACUGAAGGAGAACGGCAGUGUAGGGACGUCCUUUAAUCUACUUGGAAAUAAUUGGGUUGGUAUGAGUUUAUCAACCACUGUACCACCGGUCUAAAGAGCAGGUGACAUCAUAGCAGAUCUAUUGAAUGCUUGAUUCAUUACCACUUUUCUAAGUGUGCGCAGAAUUAGAAUCACCAUGGGUCAGUGACUAAAUUUAUAGAGCGCUUCUGGGGAGACGUCCUCACCAGAAAUGCCUUCUCAAACCAUUCACAACUUUGCACCCUCGGUUGACUCAAAAAGAUCAUGCACUAUUGUUCAUAAGCUCAUUGGGUUGUUAAGGUUACGAUAAUUAGCAGUACAACGGCUAGCAUUGCUUCAACCACAGCAUCGAGUCAUUGCAAAGCAGGUUGUUCCAACCACAGCAUCGAGUCAUUGCAAAACAGGUUGUUCCACUGCAUGAAAGCAAGAGCAGGUCAGGAAAAAGGGAAAAGUAGACCUUCAUAAAAUCCUAGGCCAUCUCCUCACCAAAAGCUCAGGAACAGACAAUCGUAAACAUCGAAAUUACGACACAAUCCAUAACAUGGAGGUCCUCGUCUGGCUUGAAGAAAUAAAUUAGAUGGAGCUCGAUUUAAGAGGCAAUAACACAUCUCCAAAUGUGCAGUCGUUUUUCUUUAAAACAUAGACAAGGUACAUGUAAGGAACCCUGGACAAUCACAGCACUUUGAUUUAAGAAUAAUUCCCAACAAACGCAUCUACACUCUACAUGGACUUGCCUUGCUGGAAUUCGAAUGUCCCACCCUGUCCUUGUACCAGAGGUUAACCCUGAUUUAAGUGUUGAUCAAACACUGCCUACAAAUAGGUCUUCAAAAUCUUCUGUUGCAGCAAUAAUAAUCUCAAGAUCUCGCCGGACACCUCAAUUCACUGAUCUACGUUCUGUGAAAAUAUGCAUGCCAAGAAUAUGAAGCGGGAUCAUACACCGAAGCUCUCAUACAAGAGCACAUGCCAAAGGCUCUAAAAUAGUAUUGGUUUUUUUUUAAAUAAAUAAAAAAAAAAAAACCACUAGGACCAAUAAAAUUACAACGCAGAGAAACAUUUGCGUAACAUUACAAACCUGCAUAUCAUCUCGGACCAGAAAGUUCAACAGCAUGAAGAUUCUCUGUGGAAUCUAAAAUCCAUUGUGAUGUUUGGCGGGUUGGCAUAUCGUAGUCUUGCUUCCGAAUAACUUCCACCUUCUGCCAUUCCUCCCAGCGCUCUGCUAGACCAUCUCCUUCCAGAAUGUGCACAACAUCACCCAUUUUUGGCCGAUCUACUGGAGAGCCUUGAGUGCAGAGUAGUGCUACCUGCGCCAGGAAGUAAAUAUUGACACCCAAUAUUUUAGAAAGGUUUCACCUAUUACAGAAUAAACAUUGUAGGUGUAUAGCAAUUUCUGUCGCGACUUAUAAACAAAAUAAAGGAUUUUGGGGCUAAAUUGGGCUAAACAUAAAUGGCAACUAAUAAUGUCUCGACAAAAAGUUCGUUAAGACCUGCUAAUUUUGAAACAGAACGUACUACACAUUUAUCAAUCCGUUAAAUUCUAGUGCACGAUGCCUGCUAAGAACAUGAAUUGAAAAAUUACAUCUACAAUUUUACCUGAAUUAGCUCUUCAACUUCUUCCUCAUCGUAAUUUUUCUCAAGAUCAGGGUCUACCAGAAUAUAGAUCUUAUGUUCCCCCAAUAAAUUUGUCACCUGAUUACAUCGUUCAGAGUGUUGGUCAGAACGAAUCCUUGAACAGAGCUAAUGAACCCAGUGUGUAGCGGAAGUCCCAAGUCUCACCAUCCAUGCAAAUUCGUCGACAAUUCAAGCACACCUCAAUUUCGCAGUAUUAUAUAUCGUGACCUCACCCAAAAACAUGGUAGCAUAAGAUGACCAUUGUAGAUAGUAAUCAUGCACAGCUUACCCAAUCCAAGAGCAUCGCACCACCAGCAUUAGCCAUGCCGGACAAGUCAAAAGCACGUCGCCCAGUGACAAGCUCCAGUAAAAAGAUUCCAUACCCAAAAACGUCCGUCUUCUCCGACGAUUUUCCAGUGGAAAGAUAUUCUGGUGCUAUGUGGCCGAUAGUCCCAACCACAGCAGUCGUGACAUGUGCGUCUUUAUAAUCCAUCAGUUUAGCAAGACCAAAAUCUCCCAUUACUGCUUCAAAUUCUUCGUCCAAGAGAAUGUUGGCAGCCUUAACAUCACGAUGGAUAAUUUUUGGGUCACAAUGAUCGUGCAAGUACGAUAGCCCUCGGGCAGCUCCUAGUGCAAUUUUCUUCCUAGUCUGCCAACUCAGAGGGCGCUCUCCAUCCACACGUUCUGCACAAAUCCACAAGUUCUUGUGAAAAAUGAACUUGUUGCACAAACCUCCUAUUUACAAGAGUAAGAACUACCGAAAUCUUGACCUGAGAGAUCAUCAAGUGUAAUCAGCAAAUUUCUCAGGAUAUAAUGGAAACAGACCUCGCAAUCGAGAGGCAACACUCCCAUUCCCCAUGUACGGGUACACAAGCAACCGUUCGGUAGAGGAAGUGCAGUAUCCACGAAGCCGUAAUAAAUUUCGGUGUACUGCCAUACUAAUCAUCUCAACCUGAUUCGCCAUGCAUCUUUGAUGUUAGAAUCAGAAGCAAUGUCAAGUAGUAAGGGCCUUAAAUCUGCAUCUAAAUCGUGCCGACUGAUAUCACGUAGAGCCUAGAAACUGUGGUCGACUUAGCUAAUUAAGUGCUUUGGCUGCAGGGUAUACCUCAUUUUGAAACUGCAGCUCUCCUCGAGGAGAGCGUUGCUCUUUGAGGCGUUUGAUAGCCACGAGCGUCCCGUCUGCUAAUCGGCCUUUAUAAACCAUUCCAAACCCACCACGACCUAAAAUGUUUCUGUCGCUGAAGUCGUCUGUUGCCACCUGAAGCUCUCUCAGACUAUGACGUCUAAGCUGUCCUAAUUGCAUCUCUGGAUCUUCUUCAGCUGUAAUCAUGAAGAAUUGAUUGUUAGAAUACAUGGACUGAAUAUGGCAGGUUCAGCUGCACCUUAUGGCAUAGUUCACGUACUGAAGAAUAAAGGAUGUAGAACAAAUGUUAUCAUCUAAACUUUCAGACGCCUUCGAAACCAGAACUAGCAGAAAGCAAGCAACUAAUCAACCAAUGACGUAGUCUACGGCCAGUAACUUCAACAGAAGUGGCACUUCAACGAUAGAAACUCCAGAUUUAAAGAUUUGUGAUAGCGCCUCCUCGCUAAAGAUUAUUUCUGACUGAUAAUUCAGUUAAAAGGGACUACUAAUAAGCCUUGGUCACAUAAAUUUAAGAAAGUGUAUCAUAUAGUUACCCUCACUCCUUUUAAAGAAAUACCAUGGUAAAUAAUAAUAAUAAUAAUAAUAAUAAUAGAACCAUAAUCACAAUAACACUAGAAUCUUUUCGAAAACGGUCCUAAAAGCUGCAGAAAAAGUAGAAUAACUAUAGUUUAUUCGAGAUUAGCUUCACAAUCUCAACAGUUACCAGCAACAUCAAAGAAGGCAUCAAGGGGCCUCCGGCGACGCCACCACGCAUAAGCAAUGGCAGGAAUCGAGAAUAACAAAGCGGCACCUGCGGCAACACCACCUGCAAUAGCUCCUGUACUUGUUUGUUGACCUUUCGCUGCAUGAAGCAUGAGAGAAUGUAAAACACAUGCUGUCAAAAUCUACGAAGCCCUAAAAAUGAGAGUGCCGUUCACUUCUUAAGUGUUACCAACCGUAUAUACCAAUACUGAUGAUCAAUACAGAAAACGGUAAUCUAGUACCAAACCAUGAGAAACAGGGAAUGGAAAGGGAAUACACUAACAGAUACCAGGUGCUAGGAUAAUACUACAUUUUCUAUUCAGAUAAAUCUCUGAUCGGACGUCAAUAUUACUGGCCUUUCUAUCAACCCCGUGUACACAAUCAAGUAAUUAAGAUCUGGACCGUUUCCCAGAAUAGUGUACUUCAGUACGAUCCAGACACUACAACGCUCAGGACUUCCCGCAAAUACAUACCCGACUGCCAAUAUGUACUUUGUGGAGGUGGAGGCGUGAACGGAGGAGGAGGUGGGAAUGGGGGUUCUCCAGGGCACGGUUUGCCGACCACUGAUCCGCACAGACCGUCAUUUCCCAAAAAACUGCAUACGACGCAAAUAAUGUAAUUCGAGACCGUGUUCACUAGUCAAAGCAUUAUCAAAUUCAUAGAUCACAUGACACAAGGGGAAAAGCUCAAAUGAUUCCAGAAUCUCUACCUGUUUUCAGAAGUGCCCAUUGAGGCGCCCAAACAUGAGCAUAUGAUGGGCAACUUCACAUACAUUGUUAUUAAAUGUGAAAUUGAUAUAGUUUAAAUCUUGUCAGAUUACCACGGAUCAUCUCAGGUGUUUAAGAUAAUUGUUCAAUGUGGGUCAAGAGACCUGCUUAUGAAGUUGGUGUAAGCUGACGCUAGCAACUUCAAACAGCUGUUAGACUCUGAAGGUGAUUACUGAGGAAAUAGUAAAAGGGAUUGUAGUACCUGAUGGGUGUGAAUAAUGAAAAGGAGCCAUACGUAGGAACGGGUCCAGAUAACUUAUUGUACGAGAGAUCCCUGCACUUCGUAGUAGCAAGAGUUACAAACAAGACUACAAACCCAAAACUACGACUGUAGUGAAUCUGAGUAAAUUUAGGAGAAUCGGGACAACGAGAAAAUGCAGCGAGUAUCAUAACAGGCUCCUAAGAAGAUGAAGACCGUAAGGAACUUACAAGACUUGCAAUCCUUGAAUGGCGGUAAGAGAAGCAGGAAUGGAUCCGGUCAAGCUAUUGUUGUUCAACCGACUGUCCUCGAUUCACAAGACACAUCCAUAUGCAAAAAAAGCCAAGAUUCUUCAGAACCAAGCUCAUAGAGGAGAUAUCGAAGGAGAAUAUAGCAUUACAUUCAAUCUUUAUAGAAGUGCCAUUCUCAAAACUUAAAUAGACUAGAACUUGGUUGAUAAAACACACAUGAUCAUCAAUACCAAUUAUUCUUAACAAGCAAAAGACGGUUAAAGGGCUAUAACAAACUUCCGGCAUCUAACCAACAGCGCAAUUAGUGAGGAUGAAAUCAAAAAAAAUCGCAUUAAGUAAAUACAUCAACACUGAAUGUUAUGAAAACGUACAGAAAUCGGAGAUUGCUCAGCUGUCCAAGACUAUCUGGUAUUGGGCCAGUAAAGUUGUUUUGAUAAAGAUCCAGACUAACAAGAGCACUGAUGUUUCCCAGCUCUUUAGGAAUUUGACCAGUAAUGUUGUUACUAUACAACACCCUGCGAUGAUGAUAGCGAAAAUUGCAUCAGAAAUAAAGAUUCAAAAUAGAAACCAGCCCCUCUUCUUGAAAGGUCGCCUCUCUAAGCAGAUAUCUGCUUCAGUAAGCUUUUCUAUCAUUACGUGUAACUUACAAAGCAGUAAACAUAGAAACGUUUGCGGCUUCCGAUGCCAAUAUAAUAGCUGUCCAGCGUACUCACAGGUAUUGUAGCUUCGUAAGGACCCCAAGUUGCGGCACUAAUGUUCCUGAUAAACCAGCAUUUCCUAAAUCCCUGAAAAGAAAAUUAAAAUUUGAAGUAAAUUUUUUAAAAAAAAAGAUAGAAUCACUUGCUUUGCCUUACUGAGAUUUGCAGCUCUCUCAAUUCUGAGUGAUAUAGUAAUUUCAUAUGAUUAAUAGCACUCUUACUAAAGUCUACGCGAAACAAAACGAAGGAGAAAAAAAAAGACAGUGAACAAUUCACAGAUUCACAUGGCUGCGUGAAGCUACAAGAGUCGGUCCACUCCAAAUUGAAUGUGGUGUGCAUAUGCAAAGACUAAGGAAAAUCAAAUUACGAAAUAUAUGUGUAGAAGUCCAAGUCGUAGAUGCAAUUAGAGGACGAGGUACAAAACAGACUCACACUCGAAUGACGUUCAAUUCGUCAUUGCAGGUAAUAUAAAACCAAGUGCAGGGGUUUACAAGAUCUGGCACCCAACUCUGCAGCACGUUGCCAUUAUCAAUCAAAUUUUGCCGAAAAGCAUUGAGUGCAUCUCCUGCACAGCCAACAUCCCACGCCGUGAUAAGCAGGCUUGACAUAUAAAGAUUCUGCAAUUACAGAACAACUUCUCUAUAUUUGUAAUUAAAAGAAACUUCACUAAGAAGGGUGCGCUUACAGCACCUGACUCGCACAACCUCAAAAUGAAAUGCAUAAAACACAGCGAUUGUUGACAAUAGGAAGCACUACACUAGAUUUCAUACGGAGCCACCACUUGUACGGAAUCAAUUCCACCAGACCAUUUCUACGUUUGUGACUGUAUCACCGGGCGUAAUUCCCGAGUGGGAGCGUUAGAUUAAACUAUAUAGUGUACGCUUCAUCAAACGACUGUAGUAUGCUGAAACCAAGAUAUGCGUAGAAAGGUGUAAAUGCUUUCAUAGACAAAAAAAAAAAAAAAAAAAAAAAAAAAAACGUUAGAAUAUGUAUGUUUGACUUUGCAUGGAAUCCAAAUUGCUUCUAAUCUCUCUCUCACCCUCAUAUCUACGGACAUAGAUUGCAGUAUUCCACGACGGGAGGGAGCGAGAGGGAGAGAAAAGAAAAGAGAGCGAGACUCGGAGAGAACAUUUAUCCUGUGUGAUGCGGAGUAAAUAAACCCUAAACAUAGCUCAGAUUAACAGCGGAGGCAAAUUGUGAGCCAUCCCAGCUGCACAUGAACAACCAGUUGAGUCAACGCUGGGUCCAGCAACAGGCCAGCAUUUCACACCUCAAUAUGACCCACCAAAAUGAUAGUAGUCCUAUUUCAACACACCUGGAAUUGCAAAUCCCACUGGAGCAAUUCACGUGGAAUCUAGCAAUUACGGUCCAACAAUUCCAGGGAAGAGGUCUGUCACUCUGUGCCAACAUCCCCCUCUGGACCCCACAACUACACCAGCUCAAACCACAUAAAAUCUUCUUCAACACUUCCCUUCGUAUGCAUUCGCAGGUUGCCGACUAAACCCGACAUCAUGAACCCCAAAUGGGCAAGACCCAGCCCAGAGUUAGACAGCAACUGACCCUCGACAUUGCCCAAUACUCCGAUGGGCAUCAGCGCGAUUAGGAAGAGAGGGCGCCACCAUGCCACAUCCUCCUUGUGAGGCAUGGCUAAGAGCGUUGACCCUCCAAACCAGACCCACUCUCCAACUCCUUCCUAUACCUGCUGCUCCUCCUACGCAUCACCAUCCCUCGGCAAAAUCCUCGUAGACACACAAACACCUACACAUCCCUUACGCCGUGCUCAACCUCCAAAUCCACCUCCUCCAUUUCACAACUUCCCAGAGAUGCUGCUCCUGAUGCUGCUAAUGGUUCUCCCACUGGACUCAUGUUUCUCUCGACGCAACCCACAUCCACAAGCACACACACAUCGACACCGACUGACUAACUGCUCCUUUCGGCAACGAGUUUCGCAACCUGCUCUUCCACGACCACAUCAAUGCAACAACAAUGUGUCUAACUAAGUUGUGUGGGUCCUGCACAUGAAAUCCAAGCUUCUUCCUUCUUCGUCUUCUUUAGAUGCCUCCAAGCCUUGAAAUCCACGUGCUCCGCCAAGUGAGGAUGAGCUUGGAACCCGGUUUUGAUGAAGAAUUCAAGGAAAUUCCAGCCAUGGAUCUUCAUUUAUCCAUCCGAUAUCUUGCUUCAUGGAUGAAUGAUAAUAAUAAUAAUGCCGAGACUAGUAAAGGUUGCAAUUCCUAAAUCAAUGGUAGACAUGAGAAAGGAUGGUGAAACCCCAAAAAACAAAACAAAGCCAACUUUGUAGUCAUUCUUAUGAUUAUUAUUAUUAUUAUUAUUAUUUUUUUUUUUUUGUUAUUUGAACUAUGGGGAGAAUGGUAUAAUAGUGCAAUUUUCACCAAGAUUGCUUGUGAUUUUACUCAAUUGUAUUGCACUAUAACUUUGGUAACGAGGUUUGGUGGCUUGUUUUUAAAUUUGGGUACUUUUUAUUUUUUAUUUUUUUAAGUGCGAUUAUUUAGUGGCAUGGGAGAAUAAUAAAAAUGUUUUCUUAGCUAGAUGACUUGUGAAUAAAGGAUGUCCAAUUUUAGAUUGCUUGAAAAUUUUUGCUCGUUAAUUUUUAAUAAAUGUAUAUUUACUAGGACUCUGUAUAAUCUUAACAAGUAGAUUGCAUUUAUGUACACUUUCUUUUUUUCCAUUUUAAAAUUAAUAAUUUUGAUCAAUCACAAACAUGUUUUUAUGAACUUUGAGGUGUAACAUGAAUUCUAGUUAAGUUCACUAUUACUUUGUUCAAGAUUUUGAAUUUUGAAGUUACUUGUGACAAUUUCUAAAAAAAAGUCUUUAUUGCACUUGAAUCAAACUCAUUUCAAUUUGUUGCUGCAUGUCUCUCCCUAAGAGAUGUACACAACACAAAAUAGAGUAAAGAUGAUUUUAAAGUUCUGUUCAAUCUUUUUAUUUUUUUUAAUAAUCUUGUUGUCAAACACAAAUUUUUUAGAUCAAUGCAUCAUUCACUUAUAAUCAAUUACAGAAUUAUUUCAACAUUUUUCAAAAACAAUGCAUAAUUUUUUUAUUUUAAAUGUGUGCACAAGGUCAUACAUACUUGCCUUCACAGCAAUUACAUUGCACCAAGUUUGUACAUGCUACACCUGCCUAAUAGUACCACCAUUUUAAUGUCAUAUUUUUUGAACAUUUAAAGUAUAUCAGUUAUUUAAAAAAGUGACCUCCACAUAAAAAUAUGUAAAUCCAAGUACUUAAAACAAAUAAAUAAAUUUAAGAGCUUUUAGUUUUAUCCCACAAAUCCUUAGAAUUGUUGGUUUCUUUGAAGUUCUUUUACUUGUGAUAGUACACGCAAAAAGCUCACUCCAAUGAAAUUUCCAUUAUCCAAUUCAGAAAUUUUUAAUUACAUACAAAAAGUGACUAAUGUUUCACCUUAAUAAAUGCAAAGAAAUCUAUACUAUAUCGAAUAUUACAUUAACUUCGAUUAUUUUAACACUUUCUUUUUAGUAACAAUGCAAUAUGUCUGCACAAUACUCCUAUACCAUAUUUGUGUAUUUGAAACAAUUAUAUUUAAAUAAACAACAUAUCACUUCUGUGUUCAAGCAUGUAUUUUGUGACUGUUUUUUUUUCUUUAGCUUUUUAAGUGUAGGCUUAUAAUCAAGUAUAAUGCUGUGCAACACUUUCUAUCCAGAUUUGGUGACUACCCCCAUUUCUUAUGACUAAAGUGCUACAGAUUUUAUCCCUCUAUUUAUAAAAUAACCGUCCGCAGAACUAAAUAGACAAGAUUUGAUAUCUUUAUUGUGAGUAUUUAAUAAAUAAAACAAAAAUACUGCUAAUUUGACUGGCUACAACAAUAGCUAGAGGAUGGACUUUUUUAUAAUUGUGUUGAUAAAGGGCAAUUGUACAUGUGUUCAAUUUUUUGGUGAACAAAUUUACAUGGUAGCCAUGUAUCACAAGGCAUGCAAUCCACAUCUGAUGUCAACAUGAUAGAGGUGAGGCAUUGAGGUGGGCAAGUUCUUCACAUAUGUGCAAAAUUUGGCAACAAGUACAAUUUAUUAUUUAUUACCCAAUAAAUUCACCAAUAUACAUUUAUUUUAAACAUUAACAGUCCUUAUCUCUGUAGUAGAAGCCAUAGAGCAAUAGGUUUGUAACCAAGAUUUGAACAGCCAUUUUUUUGUUAUCAACCUGCCAUUCUUUGGUGCUUUAACCAAACCAAUCCAUGUAUAUUUUUAAAGUCCUUUUACUAUAACAUAUACACACACAUAUACAUGUCACUUUUAUGUAUAUAUAUAUAUAUAUAUAUAUAUAUAUGUGAUACUUAUAUAUAAAUUUAACAUAUAAUUUAUUUAUUAAUUAUUAAAAUUAAAUAAAUAAUAUAUUAAAUUAAUAUAAAAGUUAUAAAAUAUGUAAAUUAUUUAUUAAUUUAAAUAUUUUUAUGUGAUUUAUUAUAAAUAUAAAUAUAGAUAUUCUUGUUAAAGGAGGAAAUACCUUAUCAAAACUCUAUCAGAAAUUCAGCCGCCAUGGUUUGGAUGAAACUUGUGGAGUGACGCAAGGCAACACGAUGUCGAAUUGGCGGAUGAAAAUCGUUACACAACAUUCAUUCGUCAACCCGAAGCUUCAUGAGCGUGAAGUGACCGUCUUAGCCGGUCGUAGCCGGUGGGAUCCGGUCGUCGCCUUCUUCAUGUUCCACGCUGGUCUUCCGUGAUCGAUGCAGAAUUUGCGUCGAGCUGGCUGUGCCGCUCAUUCUGGGCACAGACGACGAACGUUCAUUCUUCCAGUGUUAGAUUCAUCAACAUGGUGCUGCACCUCCAGGAAAGCCACCAAGACCCCACACAACUGUGUCCAUUCUCUGCUUCCGCAGUUUGAAGCGGAGCUCGGUUUAGGGCUCGAAUUUUGUCAUCGCUUGCAGCUCUGGAUCUGUUUCAACACCGAAGUCGUCGGCUUCUCUAGGCUCCAGGAUCCCUGUCACAAAUUGGGUCGCUGCUGAUUUGUUCCAUCUGGGAGGACCGAGGGAUUCGCGGAGAUUUGUUAUUGUUGUAGCUCAGUUCUGCAUCGAUGGGGUUUGUGGCGUGGUGGUAUGCGUGGACCCAUGCUUUGCUGUACAUGUCCCCAUACGUAUACUCUGCCAUUGGAAUUGCGAUCUCAAUCGGAGUGUCCGUGCUCGGAGCUUCAUGGUACCUGCUCUUUCAGCUGUGGUUGUCUAUUUGGGUUUUGAUUGCUUGUGUUAAACGCAAGCAGAGUCCGAAUUUCUCGAUGUCGGAUUCGUAGUGUGGUUAUUUUAGGUUAAUGUUUGAAGUUGAGGAGCGAGACCUUUGAGGUGGAUGAACGAGGUCAGAAUUGCGAUGGUGGUGGGGUUUGAGUGCAAGUUGAAGUGGUAUUAUGUGAUUGCUAGCCUAUGUUUUCACCAGUUGCUCGAAUCUUGCACGUAAGUGAGGUUUAGCUUGUAAUCGGAAUUUUCUGUGUUUGGGAAUGCUGGACAGGGGAAUUUAUAUCACCGGGAGCAGUCUCAUAGGUGCAGCAAUCAAGGCUCCUCGGAUCACGUCAAAGAAUUUGAUCAGGUAAAUUGAGGGAUUUGGAGUAUUAGGGUAUUCAUUUAUUUGUUUGUUUGGUCCUAUUGUGUUGGUGGUUUUGGGUACUGAAUUAGACAGUGUUAUGUCCACCACUGACCGGAGUUGUAAGAAAGUCUGCAGCGUCAUUUUCUGCGAGGCGGUGGCUAUCUAUGGAGUGAUCGUAGCCAUCAUACUGCAGACCAAGUUAGAGGCCACAAAACAACCCUUUCACCCUGAUUCUAUGCGUGCUGGCUACUCAUUGUUCGCUUCAGGAAUCAUCGUUGGAUUUGCAAAUCUACUUUGCGGGUUAGUCAUUGCCCUUAAACGUAUGAAAUCUGUAAAUUAUAUGUUUCGCGUUUAAUUGCCAGUUUUAUGUAUCGAAAGUAUAGAAUUCAUUUCUAAACGCUUGUUUUUGGUAUAUAUUUGUAAUGCUCGUGUCUGAGAAUGCAUUCAAGUUCGGAAUGCUCAUUUUGAUUUGAAGAUUAAUUAAUGGUAUGUCUUAUCUUGCGGCAUGGUAAUCCAAUCCGUCAUUGAUCCUGAAGCUGUUCAUUGGUUGUCCCGUUUCCGAGUGCAGGCUUUGCGUGGGUAUCAUAGGCAGCAGCUGUGCACUUUCAGAUGCUCAGAACUCUACAUUGUUCGUCAAGAUUCUGGUUAUCGAGAUCUUUGGCAGUGCUCUAGGUUUAUUUGGAGUUAUUGUAGGCAUCAUCAUGUCGUCUCAAGCUACAUGGCCUACAGCUGUAUUAGCGUGAAACUUUUUUGCGGUUAAUUGAUUGUUAUUUUGUUGCCUCAUCUGCAAAGAACGGAAAUGGCACGCCAAGCUUCAAGUGGGUAUAUAUUUUUAUUAAUUUUUCACUGAGGACAGUCUUCCCAUGGACCAUUAGUUGGAUUCUGGUGCUGCUUCUUUUUAUUGAUAACAACUUAGUAGGGUCCAAAUAGCGUGAGAGUAAUUGCUCAUCUCAUGAAUUUUUACGUUCUUUUCUUCCUUGCCCAUAUGUGUUUUAGAUCGAUGUUGAAAAAUUAAGUAGAUUUAAUGUUCUAAUCAGAUGCUUAAUUAUUGCACUGCCAUAUUUGGGACAAAUGUGCCUGCACUUGUACGGGAAGUAUCUUGGCGCCGAGAAGUAUGGAAGAGAAUUUCUUGAUUAAUUUUUGUGUCAGUCUUUGAGCAUUUUCACAUGUAAAUUUGAGGAGUUGCAAAUGUAUUGUGAUCCGGUUUCCAUUUCUACAAUCUGAUCAUGUAAAUUCCUUUUGGGAUGUUCAUUGAUGUGGCGAAUACCUUCGCGUGGAGUAUUGAAGAUUUUUUGACGAGGUGCAGGUAACUUCGAAAACCUGUGUUCUGUGGUAACUACGUAUGAGUGUAUUUUCUGCAUUUGCUUAACUGUUGCGUCCAUGUGUGUGGAGCUAAUAGGAAAGCGUUCUUCCAACAACACGGACGUUGUAAGUCUUAUUCAGGGUUUGCCACUGAUGAAGUUGCAGGGUAAAAUUUGAAGAUGUGAGGUCCUCUGUCCAUUUUCCGAUUGAAGUAUUUUCUUGAAGAGUUUAGCAAGAAUCUAUGGGAAGCAGUAGUGUCCGAGGAACAUGCGAGGCAUGCCGUAGAUCGGCUCCUUAGCUUGAUUUCCUGAUUUCAAUCAAAUUCCUCACUGAAAAGGAGUGUACUUAAAGUAGAACGUGAAAAAUAAUAAAUCAUGAAGAUAAACAGUCCCAUAAGAAUAUCUGAUUUUAAUUAAUAUUUCAUGUAGAUGUCAAUCACUGCUUCAUCAGGCAUUGACGUUGCAGUACAAAGUUGUAACCUCACCAACCAAGUGGUUGAAAAUUACCGUUGAGCUCAAUUACAUGGUUCUUGCAGUGAUUAGAUGUUCUUAAAACUUCACUAUGUUGCAUUUCAAUGUUGCUUUCAAAUGUGCAAUAAACACAAUAUUGUUUUCUUUGAACAAUCGAUAGUCUUGUGGUUUGGUCUUUAUUGAUUCAACUAUGAUUUGUUUGAUUUUUGUUUCUCUUUGUUUGUAUGAUCAAUUUAAAUCAAAUUAAUUUUGAUCUUAUGAUUUGUUUGGUUUUUGUUUCUCUUUGUUUGUAUGAUCAAUUUAAAUCAAGUUAACUUUGAUCUUAAGAUUUGUUUGAUUUUUGGUUUUCUUUGUUUGUAUGAUCAAUUUAAAUCAAGUUAAUUUUAAUCUUAUGAUUUGUUUAAUUUUUGUUUCUCUUUGUUUGUACGAUCAAUUUAAAUCAAAUUAAUUUUGAUCUUAAGCUUUAAAUGAUAAUUGAGGUUGUUUAGAUUAAUACUGAAUUCUUAAAUUAUUAGAGUUUAAUUUUACUAUUUGUAGAACAAAACUCAAUACCAUGCUUAUUGCAUUUCAUUACAAAGUCAAUUGUUAAAUUUGAAGUUUAGAUGGAUUUAAUAUCAAUUUUUUGAUUUUGCAUUACUAUCCAUGAAAGAAAUGGUAUUUAAGUGAUGUAUCAUUCUACUUGAUAUUAGGAGGUUUUAGAAUAAAAAGAGGCAUUAGAGAAAAUUUCAUAGAGAAUUGAAAAUCUAAUAGAAGAGAGUCAAUACACAAAUCAUUAAAGGAUGUAAUUUGUUAGUGGGAUAAAAUAAAGAUGGUUUAUAAUUUUUAAAGAAUAUUUAUUUAAGGCUUAAAAGUGAAUUAUAAAUAAAAAGGCUCUACUUAAAAUUGUUGUUGUUGUUGUUGUUGUUGUUGUUAUUUGUUUAUUCUUUUAUUUUAUUUUUUUGUUUUUUUUUAUUUGAGCUCUUUUAUUUAUUAUAAAAUAAAAAUUAGAUAAGAAAAAACAAGUAAUAGUUGUAAUUUUAGUCAAAAGUGAAGCAUUCUAUUGUAGGAGAUAAGUUCCUAUAUAGUUUUAUAUAUUGUUGUUUGAAAUAUUUCUAUAAGCUACCAUAUUCUUAUCUUAUUUUUAUUUUUUGAAUCAACCAUUGUUGAAUUCCAUGAAGUCUUGCUCAAGAAUGCACUAGGCACCUGGUUGUGGAAGGUAGAAUGGAAAUUGCAACAACAAAAUCCUAACUCUAAUAGAAUAAUAAAUAAAUUCUAAUUAAACCUUAAUAAUGCUAAGCAAGCUUUAAUCAAAUUCAAAAGAAAUCUUAAAGAAAUUAUAAAAGAAACAAUAAAAAAUCUUAAAGGAAUUCAAAAAAAAAUCCACAUUAAAUCUUAAAAGAAUCCCUAAGAAAUUCUAAAGAAAUAUUAGAAUAAUCACAAAUAUAUCUUAAAUAAAUCUCAAUCAAGUCCUAAUUUAAUCCUAGUUGAAAUUCUAAUGGACUUCAAUCAAAUCCUAGGCCAAAUCCUAAACCCUAAGCAAACUCUAAAUCCUAAGCCUUAAGCAAACUUUAAACCUUAAAUCCUAAGCAAAUCCUAAUUCCAAUUCUAAAUCCUAACUAAAAUCUAAUCAAACCCAAAACCCUAAUUGAAUCCUAAUCCUAAAUCAAACCCUAACCAAAAUCUAACCAAUUCAACAUAAUCCUAACACAAUUUAGAACCUUAAUAUCUAUCGAUUAAAAUGUUGAUCUUGCUUAGAAUUUUAUACACUUCUGAAUAAUUAAGUUAGCAACAACCAUACAAAAUUUGAAGAUAAUUGCACUUACCAAAUGGAAGGAAAUUCCUAAAAUCUGCUUGGAUAUUGGUCGGCCUCCUACUCAAAUCUGAAUAUUGAGCUUCCAACGCCAAUAUUUCUUUUUUUAAAUUAUUAAAUUAUUUUCAAAUUUUCUAUAUGUAUAGCAAAUCAAGUCUAUUACCUUUAUAUACAAAUUUCACUCCAAUCCAAGUAGUACAUUGCUGAAAAUCUUAGAAACCCUAAUUGCCUUUCAAAGUCCAAUUUCUAAGACCUCAACCUAUUUGAAAUUCAAUAACCUUCUAUUCAACCAUUCAAUCAAGCUCAAACUUAUAGCAUACACUUUGGACAACUAUUCACAUAAGUUCUCAAAAUUUGAACUAUUGAUCUACUACCAAACUCACUAAAUUCUCCAAAACGUAAUAUCCUUUCUACUUCACAAAUUCUAGAAUCACCUAAAACAAUUGUGAUUUUGCAAAGCUCUUACAAAGUCAUUAUACACUCAAAUCACUCAAAAUCAAUGUUUAAAGAAACCCUAUCUAGUUUUCUCUCAAAUCUUAUUCUUCAAUCUCCAAAAGAACUCCAAAAUUUUCAUAGGUGCCUAGUUUUGUGCAUCAAGGUUUGAUUUUGAUCUGAGUUGAUAACUGGUCCUUACAAGAUAUCAAAUUUUAUAAUUUUGAGUUAAUUUUUGCUAAAAUCAGCUCUUAACUUCUUCCUAUAUAUGCUCAUAUCUUUUAUUUUUCUAAUCUACCUUGUUUUGCCUUAUUUAUGGCCUUACAAAAUAAUUAGAAGUCUACUUUGCAAAAGAUAAUAUUUACAUCUUUAGUUUUACUUUCUUUUGGAUUAUUGUCUAUUUUCUAAGAUAAUUUGUUACAAUAUUUGAAGUAAGAACUUCUAUAAUAUAAUAAUUUCUUCACCUUUUCCACUUAUUAGUCAUGUUAUAUCAUGACACUAUUCAAAAAGAGUUUUGUAAAAAUAUUUAUAAUAUCACUUUGUGUCACGGACAUACAUAUAAUUACCUAUAUGAAUAGAUAAAAGUAUGUAAAAGUAGGUUAAUUGUGUAAUAUCUUCUAGAGAAGCUUCUUAGAAGCUUCAUAGACGCUGCUUUGACUUUAUAGGAGUCUAUAGUUGACUUUUAGGUUAGAAACUUGGUCAACAAGUUAGCCAUGUGCCACGCAUGUUGGAAGCUUAAAGAACAAGCUAACUACGUGGUCUAUCCAUAGAAAACUUGCCUUGCAAGCAAAGGCAUGUGGCCUAGAAAGUCAACAUAUAUUGGAGGUCUUAUAGAACAUCGCCACGUGGCUUCUAGUUAGAUAGUAUAUAUAGAGGCAAGAGUGAAGCCCUCUUCACUCUUGUCAACUCCUUUCUUGCUUCUAGUCUAGUUUCAAGGGUCUCUAGUUUUCUUGUAUUUUGGCAAUAGCCAUUCCAGUUUCUUUCUUAAUAUACAUAUUUCUAUUUUGUCCUAUUUCUUUUUGAGAAAAAUCUCACUUACUCUUUAGCUUUCAUCGAGUUCUUGUCCUUGACAGAUUGACAAGAGUACACUUACAAUAUCAGAGCUUUGUCUUUUCUUGAUUAAGAGUGGAUUACCCCUUUUUCUUGAUAAGACAUAAGCGCAUUAGAAGUUGCGGAUUACCCUCUUUUAAACUGAUAUUGUUCUUAGUAUUUUCUUUGUUAUCAAUUCCUCUCUUCUAUUUGUUUUGAGCGUUGUUAGACAUCUUCUCUUUUCUAAGUGCUACUAUGGCAGAGCUUGUUGAAAUGAAGAGUGCAAUGGCAGAGAUGCAAGAACAAUUGAGGGAGUUAAUGCUUGCGAUGCAUCAACUCAAUUUACCACCACAAGGAGCAACAAGAAUGGUAGGAAGUGAAGAUAUAGAGAUGAUUGGGGCUGCUUCAACAUCUGCACCAAACCAUGUCCCUUCUCCCAGAAUGGAACACCCUUCGAGUGUUAGAGAACCGAGAGUUGCCUUGCCUGAGAAGUUUCAUGGUACCAGAUCCAAGUUUCGAGGAUUCAUCAAUCAUGUCCAACUAGUGAUUGAACUUCAACCCCAGAGCUAUCCAACUCCAGGGUCACAAGUAAGAUUCAUUGGUACACUUCUUUCAGGUUCAGCAUUGUCAUGGUUUUCAUCUUUUCUUGAACGACGAGAUCCAAUAUUGGAUAAUCUGGAGGCUUUUUUGGCGGAGUUUCGAUCCAUGUUUGGAGAACAUGAUGCAAUUCGUGUUGCAACCAACAAGAUCCGUAUUUUGCAACAAGGCAAUCGAUCAGUAACAUUAUAUGCUUCGCAAUUUCGACAACUUGCAACUGAUAUCAAGUGGGAUGAUGCCGCAUUUGUGAGUCAAUUUCUCUACGGAUUACAAUAUGAGGUAAAGAAAUUGAUGCUUAAUUUACCUGAUCCUCAAACAUUGAGUCAAGCAAUUGACUUUGCUGUGAAGUGCGACAAUCGACUUUUUGAAUUUCGAUCCCAGAGUCGCACAAGUGGGCCUCAACGUUACUACAAUUCAAUGGCAACACCGACGUCUCCUCAACACAUACCUUUGGAAGUAGAGGAUAUGCAAAUUGAUGCGGUACGUUUCAAACCUCUUACUGAGCAAGAAAAGUCUCGUCGUCGACAAGAAGGAUUGUGCUUAUAUUGUGGAGAACCUAAGCACACUGCUCAACAUUGUCCAAAGAAGCGACGUAACUACAAAAUGAGGAGUACGGCUGUCAAAGAAGACAGUAUGUCGGAAAACGAGUACGUCCAGCUACAAUAGGGACCGUGCGGCUGGAAUCUUGUACAACUUCUAAUAAAGGUCCUAUCCUCUCCUCAAAACCAUCUCCUUGUUUUAUAAUAGAUGUGCGUUUAGGACCUAAUAAUUACAAAGCCUCUGCCUUGGUAGAUUCAGGAGCCUCAUCUUGUUUUUUAGAUGAAGAAUUUGCUAGAUGUCAUAGAAUAUCAUUAAUACAAAAAACUAAACCUGUACACGUAGAAGUCAUAGAUGGUCGUCCGUUGUCUUCUGGAGAUGUAACUCACGAAACACUUCCUGUAGAUGUAGUAAUAAAUGGUCAUAGUAGUUGCGUAAUUUUUAAUAUAAUUAGAUCUCCCUCUAAUCCAGUAAUUUUAGGCUUAUCAUGGUUAGAAAAGUAUAAUCCUCGAAUAGAUUGGAUUUCUCGUAAACUUGAUUUUCCUCAGAGCAUUAGUAACAGUUCUAUUAACCAAGUAAAAAACCAUGAGUCUAGUAUAGUAAAACUCACACCUAUAGGUGCAAAAGCAUUUAUACACGCACCAAAAGAAGGAUCAACUUUUGCUAUUUAUGCUGCACCUAUUUCUGAAAGCGUAAAGACUUCAAGUGGCAUUCCAAGUCAAUAUCAGGAUUAUCAAGACGUUUUUGAGAAAAAGAAUGCAGAUAUUCUUCCUGAGCAUCGCCCAUACGAUUGUUCAAUCGAUCUCAAGGAAGGAACUCAGCCACCAUUUGGACCAAUUUACAGUUUAUCGCAAGAUGAGUUGGCUGAACUCAAGACAUAUAUUGACGAGAAUUUAGCGAAGAAUUUCAUACGCCAUUCAAAAUCUCCAGCAGGAGCUCCAAUUUUAUUCGUAAAGAAAAAAGAUGGAUCUUUACGAAUGUGUGUUGACUAUCGAGGACUCAACAAGAUCACAAUCAAGAACAGGUAUCCAUUACCUUUGAUAUCAGGACUCCUUGACCAGUUAAAUCAAGCUAAGAUCUAUACAAAAAUAGAUCUAAGAGGAGCAUAUAAUCUAGUACGGAUCAAAGAAGGAGAUGAAUGGAAGACUGCGUUUCGAACCAGGUACGGGCAUUUUGAAUAUAAUGUCAUGCCUUUUGGACUCACGAAUGCACCAGCUGCUUUUCAACAUCUCAUGAAUGAUGUAUUUCGUGAAUUCUUAGACAAUUUUGUCGUCAGCUACCUAGACGAUAUCUUGAUUUAUUCUAAGAAUGUUGAAGAACAUGAAAUACAUGUUCGUCAAGUAUUACAAAAACUCAGAGAUGCAGGAUUGUACGCCAAGAUGGAAAAGUGUGUAUUUCACACUACUCAAGUUGACUUUUUAGGAUACAUCAUUUCAAAUGAUGGUCUUAUGAUGGAUUCUAAGAAAGUCCAAACAAUCAUGGAUUGGAAGAUUCCAAAGACUGUAAGAGAUGUCCAAUGUUUCUUGGGAUUUGCCAAUUACUAUCGGAUCUUCAUCAAAGACUUCUCACGAGUUGCAGCUCCACUUACACGCUUGACUAGUAAAGAUAAAUUCCAAUGGAAUCAAGAAGCGGAAGCAGCAUUUGAAGCCUUGAAGACAUCGUUUGUCUCUGCACCAGUCUUAUAUCGUGUAGACUUUUCCAAGGCAUUUUUUAUGGAAACAGACGCAUCGGAUUUUGCCUUGGGUGUAGUUUUAUCACAAAUGGGAAUAGAUGACAAACUUCAUCCGAUAGCUUUUCAUUCAAGAAAAUUCUCAGCAGCCGAGAUCAAUUAUGAAAUCCACGAUAAAGAACUUCUUGCAAUCGUGGAUUCCUUUCAAGAAUGGCGUCAUUAUCUAGAAGGUGCUUCUAGUCCAGUCACUGUGUAUACAGAUCACAAGAACCUCGAGUAUUUCAUGUCAGCACGCGUGUUGAAUCGUCGUCAAGCUCGUUAGAGUAUGUCUUUGUCAAGAUUCGACUUCAUUAUCACUUAUCGGCCAGGAAAACAACAAAGUUUGUCCGAUGCCCUGUCUAGACGUUCUUAUUUUGCACCAAAAGAAGGAGAUGCAGCUUUUGAGCAACAAAGAACGGUCCUCUUGAAACCGGAGCAAUUUCAUCUCCGAGCAGUGAAAUCAACAUUGACUGUUGAUUCAACUUUUCUCAAGCAAAUCCAGUCCAGUAUGUCCUCAGACCCUCUUGUUCAUGAUAUCGAGAAUAAUUCUUUCAAGUCUCAUGAUUCUUCUAAGUUCGAGUUCAAGAAUAAUCUAUUAUAUUUUGAAGGACGCCUAUAUGUUCCAGAAGGAAAAGCACGUUUGCGUGUUCUUCAAGCACGUCAUGACUUUCCAGCAGCAGGUCACUUUGGAUAUAAUAAGACUCUGGAACUCAUAUCAAGAGAUUUUUGGUGGCCACAAAUGUGGAAGUCAGUCAAAGACUUUGUACAAUCAUGUGAUAUUUGUUCAAGAUCAAAAAUUCCUCGACAUCGACCUUACGGACUUCUUCAGCCAUUACCUAUACCAGAACAACCAUGGUCUUCUGUUUCUAUGGAUUUCAUCACAGAUCUUCCAAACUCAAGAUCUUAUGAUUCUAUAUUUGUGAUAGUAGAUCGUUUCACCAAGAUGGCACAUUUUAUGCCAUGUACAAAAUCUAUCACAGGUGAAGAAACAGCUAAGCUUUUCAUUGAUAAUAUCUAUCGCUAUCAUGGAUUACCUAAAGAUAUCAUAUCGGAUAGGGGAACUCAAUUUGUGUCGAGAUUCUGGAGGACUCUUUUUAAGAUUUUAAAAGUGGACAUAAAGCUAUCUUCAGCUUUCCAUCCUCAAACUGAUGGACAAACAGAGCGCGUAAACCAAGUCUUGGAACAGUAUUUAAGGUGUACCAUCAACUACCAACAAGAUGAUUGGACAAACCUUCUGCCAUUGGCAGAGUUUGCUUAUAAUAAUACGGUACAUUCCUCCACGCAACAAACACCUUUCUUUGCCAAUUAUGGCUAUCAUCCACGACUUGAUACUUUUGAUUUUUCAAAAGUUGAUAAUCCUGCAGCAGAAGAUAUGGCAAAUCGGUUGUCAGAGUUACAUGCAAUAAUGAAGGCGCAGUUGAAGAAAGCUCAAGAACGACAAAAGAUAAAUGUAGAUGUAUAUCGUAAAGAGCAACCACAACUCAACGUGGGUGAUAAGGUAUGGCUACUUCGUCGCAAUAUCAAGACCACUCGACCUUGUGACAAAUUGGACUAUCGUAGGCUUGGCCCCUUUUCUGUUUCUGAACAAAUCAACCCAGUUGCAUAUCGGUUACAUCUACCGGAGUCAAUGAAGAUCCAUCCUGUAUUCCACGUGUCUCUUCUUGAACCAUAUAAGACAGUGGAUAUACAAGAAAGAAGACAAAUGCCACCGCCUCCUAUAGAAGUAGAUAAUAAUGAAGAAUUUGAGGUGGAAGAGAUAUUAGACUCAAGGCGGCGCCGAAAUAAGCUGGAAUAUCUUGUUCAUUGGUGCGGAUAUGAUAUUAGUGAGCGCACAUGGGAGCCAUCCAGGAAUCUAGCAAAUGCAUCAGCUAAAGUCAAAGUUUUUCAUCAAUGACAUCCAUCAAAACCAAGAUGAAAACCUCUCUUAUAAAAGAGACAAGAUUGAGGCAAGAUAACAUUCAAUUUCCUAUCCUUGUUUGUAACUUCUUUGCAUUUUGUGACGCUAAUUAGAUGGAGAGCCAACAACCAGCGGAUUCAAUUCAAGAACCUUCGUUUGCUGACUUACCGGAUGAGACAUUGCGAUUGUCACAACCUUCAAGACGACGCAACCGAAAUGAAGACCCUUAAGAACGACAUGUUCUUCCUCGAAUAGAUGAUGAGAUACAACGCGUUUGGUAUCACGACCUUGGAAGAGAUUCUUGAUGUUUGGUGAUAUUAUUGGAGAUAGGAACGACUCCUGAUGGUGUUUCAAAUGUAUUAUUUGAAGGAAGUUAUGAAGGCCUCAACAGUGAUCAAAUAACAGGGUGGUCUUCUCGCCCUGGAAUGGGACACUAUCGAUGGCUAAGAGGACCCAUCAACUAUCUUCGAAGAGAACAAAGAUCAGAGUAUGUAGCAAAUACAAUUCGCCGCAUAUUAGAUUUUUUCAAUAUAUAAUCACCGCUCCUCGUGGAACUCGUCCCUAGAAGGGGGGGUAAUGUCACGGACAUACAUAUAAUUACCUAUAUGAAUAGAUAAAAGUAUGUAAAAGUAGGUUAAUUGUGUAAUAUCUUCUAGAGAAGCUUCUUAGAAGCUUCAUAGACGCUGCUUUGACUUUAUAGGAGUCUAUAGUUGACUUUUAGGUUAGAAACUUGGUCAACAAGUUAGCCAUGUGCCACGCAUGUUGGAAGCUUAAAGAACAAGCUAACUACGUGGUCUAUCCAUAGAAAACUUGCCUUGCAAGCAAAGGCAUGUGGCCUAGAAAGUCAACAUAUAUUGGAGGUCUUAUAGAACAUCGCCACGUGGCUUCUAGUUAGAUAGUAUAUAUAGAGGCAAGAGUGAAGCCCUCUUCACUCUUGUCAACUCCUUUCUUGCUUCUAGUCUAGUUUCAAGGGUCUCUAGUUUUCUUGUAUUUUGGCAAUAGCCAUUCCAGUUUCUUUCUUAAUAUACAUAUUUCUAUUUUGUCCUAUUUCUUUUUGAGAAAAGUCUCACUUACUCUUUAGCUUUCAUCGAGUUCUUGUCCUUGACACUUUGUACUAAAUACACAAUACAAUGUAAUAAGCUAUGGAUACUUAUAAACUUGUAUUACAAAGUUUUUGAUUCUAAAUCAGUUAGUUAUAUUAUUUUAGGUAUAUUUGCUUAAUAAUUUGGUGAAAAUAUAUGGUUAUUCCAUUAAAAUAAUAUAACCAAUUGAAUUUAAGACAAACUAGAUUAUUUUAGGCUUAAUUUGUUUAUUAUCUAAAAAUAAAUCAAUCUAAUUGCAUAUCAAUUGCAAUCACCAUAGUUGAUGAACAUGCUUUGUAUAUCUUAUGUGUCUCUUAAUGAGUCUUAUAUUAAUAUUAAUAUAUUAGAAAAAAAUUAGUUACUACCACCUCUUAUUGAAAUAGAUAACAAUUAAGAAUUUAAAAUGGAAAAAAUCUUGGAUUCUAGGAUGUGCCAAUUUAAAUUAGAAUAUUUUUUCUAUUGGAAUAAAUUUAAUAUUAAUGAAUUAAUAUAGGAGCCAUAUAAAAAUCAUGCUCUAUAACUCCUUCAUACAAAUUCUAAAUGCAAAAAUUCUUUCAUAAAAGAUAUAGAUCUUAAAAUCAUCCUUGUAGAUGCACCUCUUGAUCUCCAAAAUCUAUCAUAAAACUCUUUAUAUACUCAAAAGAGCAACAAUAUGACUUAAAAAGAUACUUUAACUUUAACUAGAAAUAACUUCAUCAUCUUAACUCCAAAUCCUCUAAACUUUGUACACAAAUUGUAGUUCAAAUCCUAAACCUUAUAAUUCUUGCUUUUGAUUUUUGAAUUUUCCUUCUAAAAUUGCGAAAACCUUUGUUAUGGUUGCAAAAAACCUACUGAAUGCCUAUUAGACAUGUGCUUUGACCAAUAGAGAUGAAGAUCUUCAUCUUUUGCCUUCAUCCAUCCAUGCCUUUUUUUCAUCACUCCAAAUAAGUUUUUUAGAGGUUUGGAUCUUUAUCUUUUAGUCCCAAUCUUUUUCUUAAAUUAUAUAUUAAAUAUCUAAAUCUUAUAUAAUUUAAACACUAUAAUCAAUAUAGGUAAAUUUUAAAAUAUAUUUUUUUUUAUAUCAACUCUCUUUAAAUUAAUCUACUAACUACUCUAAUGCACAUCAACACUUAUAAAUACAUUAUAUAUUUUAGUUAAUUUUUACAUAUUGUAAAUAAUUAUAAUAUGACAAUAUAUUUUGUAUUUUAAUCUUGAUUUAAGAUUGACUUGGUUAUUUGUAAUUGAUAAUUGACAUUAUUGUUUCUAUCUAUCUUAUAUCUAUUUCAUAUUUAUUUACUUUUUCUCUUUCAAUGACUAUCAAGGAUAUAAAUCUCAAAAAACCAAAAGGAUCAAUAUACUCUUGUAUCACUCAAAUAGAUUAUAUAAUCACUCAAAGAUGCUAUAAUAUUAAAUUAGAAUGGCUAUUGCCAAAGAUAAUAUAAUUAGAGUUUCUUGAAACAAUAUUAAAAACAAGAAAGGUGUUGAUAAGAGUGAAGAAAGCUUUACUCUUAUCUCCAUAUACUAUCUAUGUAAGAACUAUGUAGCAAUGUUUUGUAGGACCUCCAAUACAUGUUUAAUUUGUGAGACACAUGUCUAACUUGCAAGACAAGUUUUCUAUAUGUGUUCCACAUAGUUAGCUUGUACCAUAAGCUAUCUACACUUGAGACACGUGGCUAACUUGUUCAGCAAGUUUCUAACCUACUAAACAACUACAAAUACAUCAAAAGUCAAAAGCUUCUAAAAAGCUUUGCCAUAAAUAUUAUCAAAUCUAUCUAUCUUUACCUUAAUAUUUCUUAUUUAGGCAAAUAUAUAUGUCUAUGAAAAUGAUAUAAGAGUGUAUGUUUUUUCUUAAAAUUUUAUCUUGAUUCAUAAUUUUGACAAUAAUAAUAAAAUGAAACAAAAUUAUUUUGUGUAAUAAUGAUUCUUACUAUAUUAAAUAAACUUAUAUGCUAAUAUAAUAAUAGUAGUUUCAAUGAUAUCUACAACCUAAUGAAAGUCACUUAUACAUUAAAUAUAAUUUUAUAUUUUAUAUUAUUUUGUGGCACUUUAUCAAAUAAUUUGUUAUUUUUUGAUAGUUAAAAUUAAAAUAAUGAUUUUAUAUAUAAAAAUAUAAUAGUCUCAAAUAUAAUAUUUUUUUUAGAAAUUCAUGUUUUAUAGAGAAUCGUUUUAAAAUUGGCCAAAUUUAUAAAGUACAACAUCCUAACAAAAUUUAGGUGGUAAUUGCUUAAUAUGGCUUAUAAAUAUAAGUUUAUGUUUUUAUCUUUUCCAAAAACUUAUAAAAAGACUUUGGAGAUAUUUAUAAACAUUCUUAGAAUCUUUUGUUAGAGUCAAAAUCAAAUUUAAAUAAAUAUUUUUUUUUUAAAAAAUUAAGCAUAAUGUAAUUUGCAUGUAAAAAAAAGGUAUAAAAAACUUAAGUCAAAAAAUAAAUUUUUAAUAUAAAUUUUAUCUUUCUAUUUUAAAUAGCUAUUAUUAUUACUUAAAAUGUUAAGAUUUUUGGAUAUAUCCAUUUCAAUAUUAUUUCUUUUUAUAACAAUAUUUGUUAAUGUUCAUAGUAUCUUUUAUAAAAGAAAUAUUAUCUAUUUACAAAGAAUUCUUAAGUAAAUGAAUCAAUAAGAUGCAAUAUUUCAAUAUAAAUUUUAGUAACAUAUGAGAGGAAAAAUUAUGAAAAAUAAUAAAAAAUUAAUAACUUUUUUUAUAUAUAAAAUAAUAAAAUUUUGUACAAUAUGAUGUAUAACAUAUGAAAAAAAAUUACAAAAUAAAUUACAAUUAUUAAACAAUAUUACAUUAUAUAACAACGAAAAGUAUACAUUUCAAUUUAAUUUUUUAAAUAAUAAAUAAUAAUAAAAUUUUAAUAGUAUACUAGAGAUAUAAAAAAUAAUAAAGAAUAAAGAAUAAAAAUCUCAUAAUCAAGAAAAAGAUAUUAAAAUAAAAUUAUUUCUUAUUUCUUAUAUGUAUAUAAAAAAUAAAAAAUAAAAUAUUUUAACAAUUAUUUUAUUAAUGCAUCAAAUAAAAUAUCUUUCACUAAUUAAUUAAGUAUAGUCUUAUUAUAUUAAAAUAUAAAUUAAAUAUAUAACUAAGACAAACCAUCCUAUAUAGAUUAAAUUUUUUAUAGAUACAAAAAGAAUUUGAAAGAACAGAAAGUAAAAAAUUUAAAAGAAUAAUGAAUAUAAAAUAAAUAAAUAAAUCCUGUAUCAAAUUAAUAAAUUUUAUAUUAAUAAUGUUUUAAAUAUAUACAUAUAUAUAUAUAUAUAUAUAUAUAUAUAUAUUUAUUUAGUUUAUAGAUUUUUUUUUAUUUUAAUAUACUUAUUUAAUUUUUUUCAUAUAUAUUCUAUAAAUUUGAUAGAAAUAGAAAAUUAUUAUUUUAAAGAAUAUGAUACUAAUAAUAUUUAUAUUUAAAAAUCGAUGUCUAUAUAUAUAUAUAUAUAUAAAUAUUAAAAUAAUCUAAAUAUUUACUAAAUUGACCUACCUUAUUGUAAAAAAUGAUGAAUUUGAAAUAAGAGCUAGGAACAUGGAGAAGAGAACAAGAGGUGUUGGGAUAAAAAAUCUAAGAAUGAAGAGAGCAAGGACUUAAAAAGUGGGAGGUUAAGAUAAAGGCCAUGAUUGUAUGCAUAGUUUCUAGAGAUGAUUAAGUUUUUUAAUAAUAGUGUAAGCCCAUAUUUCACCAUUCAAUGAAAUUGAUGCCAUACAAUAAGUUCAAGAGGUGGAAUGAAAGAACUUCCAAUUGUAUAAUUGCUAAAUUAAUUUAAAUCUUGGUGUUUGUAAUUUAAUUAACUUUAAGUCUUUUAAGCAAUGAUUGCCUAAAUUAAUAAAAAUAUUUCAUGAAAUUUUCUAUGGUCUUCCAAGGCUAUUUGCAUGAUUUUUACUUAAAUCUUAAUGGUUUGUUUAAGAUCAUUUAUAUGGUCCUUAUUUAACUAUUAAAUUUUAUGUUAUUAUAAAAUUAUAAUUAAUUAGAAAAAAAUAAUAAUUUAAAACUUAUAGAUUAUUACUCCUUAGAUAAUUGUUGUUAAAAAUAAUUGAUCAAGUUAUUAUGAUUGAUCUAUAAUAAAAGUAAAAAUCUUAAAGUUGAAAUUUUAAAAAAAAAAGAAAAAAAGAGAUUAAAGAUUAAAAGUUAAAGAUUUAAAAUUAAAAUCCAAAAUAAAAUAUAAAAUUUACAAGUUAUUAGAAGAAUAAAAAUCAAAAUGGAACCAAAGAAAGAUAAAAGCAAAAGUACAUUGAUAAAGCCUAAAAAUUGAGGGCAGCAAACCCCCUUCUACUCCAAAGUUUUCCAAAAAUUGAAAUUAGCUCCAAAGUAAAUGGUUUUUUAGUUUUUUUGCAAGAUAACUCAAAGGCACUUCUGCUCCAAUGAUUUUUAAUUCAAUCUAGUACCUAAACCGAAAGAAAUACUCCUUCAAAGUUGAGUGACUGAGAUUGCCAUGGUAGGCAACCUCCCUCUACUUGGAAAUUCAUCAAAAAUUCAAUUCAUCAAAAAUUCAGUGAAUUUGGUGCCAUUAAAAGCUUAGCUUAAAGAUACACUUACUCCCAAUAAUCCAAUUGGGAGGCACUAAGAAAUAUCUUUUCAAAAGUGGUUGAUCUAAACUGCCAAGGUAGUUGAUCCCCUUGCAUUCAAAAUUUCUCCAAAAUUCCUCCUUAUUCCAAAUCGAGCGAGUCUUACCUUACUAGAAAGCUUUUACCAAAAGCUAAAAUUAUGGAAAAAAGUCACAUUAAAAAUAAAAGAAAUUGAAUGACUGAAUGAGUGAAAUUUGAGGCUCUUAGAACCCUUAGAGUAUUUGGAAGGCCAAGGGAGCUAUCUACCACAAUGUAGUAUGUUUUAAAAUCCAAUAACCAACAUUCACUUCUCAAGAUUCAUGCACAUACACCCACAGAAUUCACAAUGAGAUUCAAAAUCAAAAAUAAAAUUAUGAUCAUAGUUUAAGACCAAAAUUUGGUAUGGUGUUGCCCUUCACCUAAAUUAGAGAAGGAGAAGGCAUGGAGAACCAAUCCACUUCUAUACAAUUGAGAUGUGGCUUGUGGAAGGGUGGCCACAUCUCCUCCCUUGAUCUCUAAGAUCCUUAAUGUAGAUCUAUGGCCUUCAUCCAUCCAAGAGCUAAUUUCGUUACCAAGGCUGAUGGUUCAUGUAAGUGGUCAAAGAAAGAAUUUUUUGGUAAUUCUAACUUCACCAUUGUGUUCAAAACACCUUUUUAUGCUAAAAUCGACUACUCACAUGCCUCAAUCCAUGCUCAUUUGCAAUUUUUAUGAAAGUUUUUACCUACAAGGAUUUUAGCAAUUCUUGUAAAAUUCUUCAAAAUGAGAAUUUCGUUGCUCCAUUUGUAUUUAGGAGAGGGUGCUGAUCUUGUUUUAUUCAUGCUACAUAGUGAAUCCAUUGCCACCAUUACAUUUGAAAGGUUUCCAUUAAUUAGAAGGACAACUAUGCUGCUUGGAUUUGUUGAAUUUGGAGGAUAAUCUCAAAAUUGUCAUUGCUAAAUUUCAUUGGAUCUUUUAGAAAAUCAUAAUUCUAACUCACUCUAAAUCAUAUGAGAUGAUUGUAGGUGAACUCAUAGGCUCUUAGUCAACCUUCAUAGUAGUGACUAACAACAUCUAAAUUAUUAAAAUUAACUAAGUUGCUAUUCUAAUUUUCUAAUUCUUAUCACUUUGGUUCUAAUUAACCUAACUCAAGGAAUUAGGCUAUGAUUUAUACCAUCAAAGUUUACAAUCUUAAAAAUUCUAUAAAAUAAAAUUCUAUUAAUAUAAAUCCUAAUCUAACAUAUUCAAUUAUCAUAAAAUAAAGAAAUAAAAAAAAUUUAAAUUUAAGAGUGUAAUUGAGAGUUCAUAGAUAGUUACAAUAAGAUGAAUCAAUUUAAUAAAAUGAGGUUGUUAUUUUAAAACUUUUUUAUAUAUAUUAUAAUAUUAAUAAAAUUAUAGCAUUCAACAUAUUGUGUUAAGUAUUAUAGAAAAUAUAUUAAUUUACAAUAUUAUAUAUAUGAAUAUUAUAUUUUAUAAAUAAAUUUUGAAUAUUAUAUUUAAAAUUUAUUUAUUUGAAUUAAUACACACUUCUACUAUAUAAAUUUAUUCUACAUCAUUCAAAGAAAAAAUGUAUUAUUUAGAUUAAUUGAUAAAAAGAUAAAUAAAUUUAUUAUAAUAUUUUAAUAUAAAAAUUAUCCAACUAAAGAAUAUUAGAUUCAAACUAUUAGAUUUUAUUAUAUAUUCUUACUUCUUCUUCAUAAUAAUUGAUGUAUAAUAUUUUGAUAAUAUCAUUAGAAGAUGUUAGUGAUACAAUAAAGAAUCUUUAAGAUACCAUCUUAACUAUUGCAAUUAUUAAAUAUAGUAUUAAUUGAAUAUAUGAUGGAAAUUUUUUUAUAAAAUGGAAUUGUCAAUUUAAAAAAUCUGUCUUAUUUAAAUCAUUUUUUCAAUAAAAAAAUAUACAUAUAUUAUUUUUAUUCAAAAAAAUUAUAAUCGGAGAUAUGAAAUGAUUCUAUUCUACAAAUAUAUAAUCUAUUAAUCACUACAAUGUGAUAUAAGAGAUAUCAAAAGAAGUUAAAAUUGAUUGUAGAUAUAGUUAGAUAUAUAACAAUUAUAAUAUCAAGAAUUUCAAUAAAAAAUGAUGCAUACUAAAAAUAAUUAUUUAAUAUUGAUAAAUUAACUAUAUUUGUUAAAUUAAAAAUAUAAUAAAGGUGAUAAGUGAUAAAUCUAUUAUAAUAAAAUUUUUAUUACAAUCUAUUUUUAAUAAUAAAUAAAAAUAUGGUGAUAAAAAGAAUUCAAUAAAUAUACAUAUAUUAUGACACUUUUUUGAAUGCCAUUAAAGUAUUUAUGUCAAAAAAUUGGAAAAUUUUAGAUUUGAGAUGAAAAAAAAAAUUCUAUCUAAAAUAUUAAAAAAAUAUAAUAAAGUAAUUUUUAAAGAAUUUAAUUUUAUUAUUUAUUAUCAUAAUAAUAAUUAUUAUUUUUACAUUAAUGCAUGAGUAAAAAAAUUCCAUUUUAAAGCAAGGAUUUCUUGUAAGUUGUAAAUACUACAUACCAUAGAAAAUAAUCUUUGAAUUAAAAUUUUUUUUAUUAUAAUUUUUUGAAGCAAUUUAAGCUACAACAAACAAAAAUUAAAACUACACUUUUAAAAUGAUAUCCAUAUAUUAUAAUCUUAUAAUAGAAUAAUUCUUAAAUUCAAAUGAAAAUAUAAUAUAAUUAAUAUUCUUUAAUCAUAUACUAUAAUUGAUAUAUUUAACAAAUACAGUUAAUAUUAUAAAGGUAUUGGAGCCACUAUGAAUAAUAAAUAAAAUUAAAGUUAUAAACUACUAUUUUUCUAUUUUAGUCUUAUAGCUCUAAAUUUGUGAAAUUUGAAGUUAUAUUUCACUCAACAAUAAGUUUAUUAGUAUGAUUUACUUGCUUAUAAUUUAAUUACUAUGGUUUAUAAACAAUACGCACAAUUCAAAAGUUAUUGUAAUAGGCCAAGUUUUAGAAUAUUUUCCUCAUUUAUUGAAGUGGUCUAUAAAUUUAUUAAACAUAUUUUCAUUUUAUAGAAGAUUAGAAUAUAGUAUAGUUUUAAUUUUUUUAGUUUAAUAAAUACUUUAUAUUAUCAUUAGAGAUGGUUAGUUUUUUUUGAAGUUAUUUUCAAAUUCAUCCUUUUACUUUGAAAUCUAUAAUUAUUAUCCAAAUCUUAAAUCUAUAAUAUAUAUGUAAUUUCUAAAUAAUUUUAAUAUUAUUAGUUAUUAAACUAGUAAUAUCAUAAUAUAUAUAUAUAUAUAUAUAUAUAUAUAUAUAUAUUAAAAAUUAUAUGUCAUUUCUCUAAAUAUAAUGAAAUCAAGAUAAUAUACAAUUAACAAUCAAAAUUCGAAUAAGUUUAUUUUGUGAUUCUUAUAUUAAAUAACUUUUUGAUUUUUAUUUUAAAAUUAGUUGAACUUGGUCUAAUAAUUCUUUAAAUUUUUAUCUUUUUUUUGCUAAAUCUUAAUAAAAAUAUAAACUUGUAGUUUUCAUAUAUAAAAAAUAAAUAUCUACAUUUACAUAUUUUUAAAAGUAUACUUAUAUUUUGUAAAUUUAUUAAGACAUUUCUUAGUAUAUUCUUAUUUCUUUUAAGAAGUAACUUGGUUGUUGAUGGAAGCUUAAGUGUAGGUUGUUAGGUUAACUUUGUUGAUUUUUUUUAUUUGAUCAUAUAUUUGUAAUAAAAUGAUCUUCAUUAUUUUUAUCUUAGUACAAUAUCAAAAUAAAAGUAGAAACUUAUAAAAGAUAUGAACCACAAAUAAUUAAAAUGUCAAUACAAUCCUAUGUUACUUAAAAAGAGUAGAUAUUUAUUUUGAAAUAAUAUAAUAUUUCAACUAAAAUAGCUAUCACUGAAAACAAAAAGAUUAGAGACUCACUUUUAAUUCCAUAUAUACUAUCUAACUAAUAGCUAUGUAGUGAUAUUUUAUAAGACCUCCAAUAUGUAUCAAACUUAUGAGAUACAUGUCUAAUUUGCAAAACAAGCUUUUUAUAUAUGGGCAAUAUGGCCAAUUUGUACUAUAAGUCACCAACAUAUAUAACACAAGGCCAAUGUAUUGGCAAAGUUUUUAAUUUAUUAAUUAUCUAUGAAUAUGUACUAAGUUAUUUUUGCGUGUAUAAAGCUUCUAAGAAGUUAUCUACAAAAUAUUAUCAAAUUUAUUUUCUUCUACUUACUUCUAUCUUAUUGCUGUAAUCUAAAUAAAUAUACAAGUCUAUGAUAUUUCUUCUUCUUCUUCUCUUCCUUGGUUCCUCCUUUCUUCUAAAGACAAGUUCUAUAAAGAAUUUUGUUCACAUAUUGAAGAAUUGUAAGAUACAACAAAUUAUAUUUAUUACAUAUUUUGAUCUUUAUUUUCUUUGAAGAUAAAUUGAUAAGUCUUCUCAACUAUCAAUAGUGUUCUAUAUCAUAGCAAAAAGAUCACUUUAUUAUUUGAUUAUUAAUGAGGCUUUUAUGACUUUGUUCAAAUUAAAACUCUUCAAAUACCAUUAACAACCAUCUAUAUCUUCUAUAUAUACAUGCUUAGUUUUUUUAUUAAACAUAUAUCAAAUUUUUAAAUAUUUUUUUUUUCUAUAAAACAAAUUGAUACUCAUAAAUCUACUAAGGUAGAGACUUUAUAAUUUUUUGGUCCUAAAAAAUCAUCUAUUGUAAAUUAAAGUAAGGGAUUUGAGAAAAAAAUAAGAUCUUCAUAAGAUAUUAUAUAAGAUUCUUGCAAUACUAUCAUUAUUAUAGCUAGACAAACAUAUUUUCUAAUUUAUUGUCCUCUUUAGCACCAUGCUCCUCAUUUCGUAAUUGUAUUGGUUCUUUGGAUAAUGUUAAGUAGCAUGUUUAGGUUCUUUGUAUUUCAAGCACAAUUCUUUUUGAUGACAUUGUGUCUUUUCUUGCUUAGUGAGAAGAUUGAAACAUAUUAUAUCAAUUUGCAUAUGUUUUGGCUUUAAUGAAUUAGUUUCUAAAAACUUAGGAGUUGUUAUCAUGACUUGACUUGUUCUUCUCUAAUCAAAACUUUAUUUUUUGAAACUUUCAAAAAGUUAAUUAUCACAUGCAAUGACUUAAGCUAUAAAUUGUUUGAAUAAGUUUGCUUUCAAUAUUGUCAAUAAUAAGUCUUUGAAAUUAUUUUUUAAUCUACAUCAAAAUUUAUUUGUAAAGACUUUAUUAUUCCAAUCCAAAUUGUGAGCAAGGUUUUGGAAUUUAACAAUAUAUAUGUUAGUUAAUUGUAAUCCUUGUAGUAAAGAUAGGAAUUUGGGAGUUUAACAAUAUAUAUUAUCUAAUUGUGAUCUUAUAUGUGCGACAUAUAGCCAACUUGUAGUACAAGUCACCAACAUAUAUAAUACGUGGCCAAUUUGUUGGCAAAGUUUUCAAUCUACCAAUUAUCUACAAACAUGUAUUAAGUCACCAUUGAUUCUAUACAACUUCUAAGAAGCUUUUUCAUAAGAUUUUAUCAAAUUUACUUCCUUCUAUUUAUUUCCAUUCAAUUACUUUAAUCUAUGUAAAUAUAUAUAUGUUUAUUUUAAUACUCCACAAUCUUCAAUAUAGUUUAGUAUUUGAAAAAUAUAUAUAAAAAUUACUCAAUUAUAAUUAAAAAAAAAAAUAAUACUAUUAUUUUAAUUAAUUCAUAUGAAACUAUAAAAAUUAUAAUUUAACUUAUCAAAUUUGAUGAACAAUUUUAUAUAAAAAAUUUAAAAAUGGUAGAAAAAACUUACUAUUUUAGAAAAAUAUAAAAAAUAAAAUAGCUAUAUUAAGUUAUAAAAAAUUUACAAACAACAAAAGUAAUAAGAUGGAAAGUAGAAAUUGAUGAAAAUAGAAAUUAUUUUAAUUUUUCAUCACACAUACUUAUAAAAUUACAUUCUUUUAAUCUAAUCUUUAAAGAAAAACUUUUAAAUAAGCUACCUAAUACAACCUACUAUCUAAGUUUCUAGAAUAAUCUUUUAAGAAAACUUUCUAAUAACGCUUGCUACAUAAGUGAUUAAAAAAAACUCUUGAAGAAUAUUUCUUAUAGAAGUUUGCUCUUUAAGUUUAAUAAAAAGAUUCUAAGACACCUUCAAAUGUUUUUAGAAAGACAUUAACUUUUUUAUAAGACACUAAACUUUCCAAAUGACUUAAAAGUCUAUAUUAGAUAAAGAUUUGUAAUUUAAAUACUUUGAAAUUGUAUGUAUAUAUGUAUAUAUACACACUUUUUCUUAUUCUUUUAUAAGAUUUUUACUUGUUGUCUAUUUUUAUACUUAAAAUUGAUAUGCAUAUAUUAAUUUAUACUUAACAUAGUGACACAUCCACUAUUUGUAUCAAAUAUGUAAUUUGUACAAUAAUGGGAUUUGUUUAAGAUAAUGGAGGACUGUACAGUGGAUAAUUAAGUACCUUUGCUGUUCAUAAUAAAAGACAUGUUCUAUUGAUUCGACAUUGUAACUUCAAAUUGAACGACAUUCAGAGAAACAGAUGAAACCAAUUCGGACUUAAAUAUAUGCUUAAGAUACUUAAGCGCUGAUUAAUAAUUUGCACACUUGGGUUCGCAAAUUGUACGCUCUUUGCCUGUUCACCCCCAUGCAAUUGCAUGCAUUCGAUGGACUUGAUGUGUGGAUCAUUGCGUUGAUGAGAUAAUGUUGGUGCUGCGGCGUUUGUUUAAGUCACCGAAGAAGGGGACGAUGUGUUGUGAGUUGUUGAGAUUCGCGUUAAUGUUGCCCUGAGGAUCUGAACUGAGGUAUCUCACAUUGAAUCCGGCCUCACGAGAUUGUUUUGUUUCAUUCCAGAAUCGUGCUUCAGUGCCUAUGCUGCGACAAAUUGCUCCCUGAAAAGUCCUAAUUGGGAUUGUCGGAGUGGAAGAGUGGAGGUUUGCAACAUGUGGUGAGUUGGGUCCCACUUCAGUGUGCAUUUUGUAACCCACUUCCUGUGUUCUUGGAUUCAUUUCGCCAGGGUUUAGAUCGUGGGGGCGUCUUGUCAGAGAAACUUUCGGCGCUUUCCUGUUGUAGAUGUCAUAAAUGUGCUGCAUCACAGAGUAGCUUGCUGGUAUCAAUGUCGGUUACAAGGCGUCGCGCCGAGUUGUCACGCUUAAUAUAGUUGACCUAUCUCUGGGGCACAACUUUUGUCACUCAGAAGCACGUACAGUAACACCAGCAGUGAAGCACUAAAUUAAUCUGUACGAAUUUGUCGCAGCAUUGGCACUGAAGCACGAUUCGGGAAUGAAACUGUGGGGUUUAGGAACCGUGUCCAUUGUGUACUGCUGCUCAUGUGCUCCUGAUUCUUGGUGCAUCACCAGCACCUCCGAAACCACAUUGAAUUUGAAACGGAUUGGUCUCGAUGUGACUCUCGACGUUAGGCAAAAGUGCAAUCAAACUGACGCUACGAAGUUGCUGCCAAGAUCAAAGUUGAGGAUGAAGCGGCCUGGAUUUAGGGAAUAUCGCACGUGCUUUCUGUAGCUCUGGCUUUAGGGGGACGUUGGGAGUCAUGCCGUUGAAUUGGUCUUCAACGUUUAACGGAUUCGCCCAUAUUGCCUGUCAUUCUCCUUUAUAGAGAUGUUAGUAAGCAUCAACAUUCUUCCCAAUCAUCGUACUCUCCGUUUCGUUCGAAUGCCAAGACUCCAGGUUGAAGUUGGUAGUUGCCGGGAAAAACUUCCGGAGUUAUUUUGUCGAGUAUGGGGUGGUUUUUGAGCUCAACGGUGCACUGUGGUUUGAUGUGUUGUUGAGUUUUGUUGAAGUUCAACAAGGAGAAGCCAUUUUGGAGCUUAGGUCCGGGAGUUGACAUGAGGAAGCAUAAGGAAGGAGGUGGGAUCGCCAACAGACUGCGAAGCAACAUAAAUGGGACGAAGCGAGAGCUAGGAUGGAAGAUGAUUUACAUUGUAUCCGCGAUGGCAUGGAUUGGCCUCUUGCAGCUAGUUGUUGUAGAGCACCCUCUUAACCCCUGGUUUCAUCAAUCGGCGACUACUGCACCAAUCUUCAAAGAGACGUCGUCCAGUCACUUAUCUUCCGAGGCAAAUUCAUCGCUCAAGCGAAGCAACACCUUGAUAGUAGACGUUGAGACAUCAACACCCCGAGUUCAGAUUGCGACGGAGAAACCAGGGGUGUUCACGAUCCCCCCUGCACUUAAAUCUCCAAAGAAUGUGAACCUGUUGAAAUUCAAUCCAGAGAAUACGUUCCUGCCUUUGAAGGAUGUGAAGGAGUCAGGCUUGUCGGAUACGGACACCAACUGGUUCAUGAGUGGGCUAAGGUGGACGCCCAAGCUCGGCAACGGUGAGACCUUCGACCUCCCGAAGGAUGAUUCCAAGGGUAGAAUCUUGUGCGUGAGAGGAAGGGAUAUGCAAGAUGGGACCAAGAAUGGUUAUGGUUUGUUCAAAAAGAGGAGAUUGCCGAGGGGCGCAAUCUUUCGGGAACAUACGACUUUUAUCGCAGAUAAUUACUGGGAUUAUAACAAUCCAUGGCACUCAAUGUCGGCUCUGGCGAACUUCAUAACAUGGCGCUUGGAGAACAGCUGCUCGACGCCGGAUCGGUUGCUGCUUUACCAUGCUGGGGAACUCGUCACUUCCAUGGGGCCGUGGAUCUCGCAUGUCAUGCAAGCAGCGUUCAUGAAAUUUAUUCCCAUCGAAACCCUAGAGUCUACCCACGGGUCCAACUCCCCCGUCUGUUUUGAGCGCGCUGUAAUCCAACGACGAGGCUUAGGGAAGGUGGACAAAGUGCACAUCAAUGCUGCAUUUGACGUACUGCGGUGUAAAGCGAGGGCAUAUUGUGGCGUCAAACGGUCAGCAGAUCGAAGCGCUGCCAGUGUGGAGGUUUUGCUGUUCAUGAGAACGGGACCAAGGUCAUUCCAAAACGAGACUGCGGUUGCAAAUACCGUCCGGAGCGAAUGUGCAAAAUAUCCUAGUUGUAAUAUGCGUGUCGUGAACUCCGCAAACCUCACAUUCUGCGAGCAGGUUGAAGUGAUGACCAACACUGACGUGUUGGUUACCGUGCAUGGAGCGCAGAUGACCAACAUGAUGUUCAUGGAACCGGGCUCCCGGGUGAUGGAGAUGUUUCCCAAAGGAUGGCUGGAGCUUGCCGGAGUGGGGCAGGAGAUUUAUAAGUGGCAUGCCGAUUGGACCAGAGUCAUACAUGCGGGCAGAUGGAGAGACCCCGAAGGACCGGAGUGUCCAUAUCCCAGGACGGAGACGUUGGAGUGUUUCCUGUUCUUCAAGGAUCGGCAAGUGGGGUUGAACGCAACCUUCUUGGCUGAUUGGAUGGGUUCUGUUUUAAGAGAUUUCGGAAUGACCACACGCAGUGGGGAGCAGCAGGAUGGUGUGCAGAGUGAUUGUGCCUGUGAUAUGGGACGUCACAGCUUUACAGCUUAGUGAACCAAAAAUUUUCCCAAGGAAUUUAUCUUUCUCUCCCUCAUAUUGAAUGCACAGAAUAGUUUGUUUUCACGGCUCAUGUCUGCCGAGAAAGUGAAACCCAAGCCUUUUUGGUGAAUAGUUUAGGAGAAGAUGAUCACUCUAUGCAAGCGGUAGCAAUCCAGCGAAUAAUCGUUGCAAAAAUAACUUUCGAGAGACCUGUACAGAAAGAUGAUUCAUAGACGAAAGAUAAUUUAUUUAAACAACACUUUCUUUCUACAUGUGUCGAGCAGAGCAACAAAUGUUGCAGGUUUUGACAAGGGGUGUCAUGAGCAUUACUAUGGUCACUUUAGUGUUUCAUGGCCUUAGUUGAUAAACACAAGAUGCCGAAUGAUCGAAAUCAACCGCUAGCUCUUCAGGCUUCGUCGUGUAUGGCUAUUACACAGAUUUUGGUUCCCCUGAUUAUGCAUUUCGACAUCAAGCCAACACUCGUCGACUUUCUGAAGCGAAGAGCUUAGAGCUAGGUUUUCACUCAACCAUGAUAUUUGAGUUGUGCCUAGAUUUUCUGGCUAUGAUCAGCAACACCAUGGCUACUUCCGGCCUGUUUGAGAAUACUGGCCUUCGCGAGGUAUCCUGAGCUGGAAUCAGUGCAACGUACUGCGUCCAACAGUAAACAGAAUAUGAUCACAGGUAUUCUUUAGCUUUCAAGUUGAAACUUUCUAUGCAGCAUGGAGAUGAUUCUAAAAGGGACUUCCGCAAAGCAUUUCCCGAGAAAUCUAUUCUUCUCAUAGGACUAAAUCUUAAGAAAGGAGUGCAGACCUUGAUUCGGUGUCCACACCCUUGUUGCUUGCACAGUUACAUUAAGGAAUAUGCGGGAGCACGACUGUGUACUUGUUUUCACAGAAGUUUCUUGGCUAGGUUCAUUUGUAAAUUUAAGUUAAUGUAGUGUGGUCAAACAUUUUCAAUGCUUGGAUGGCAUUUUAAUUCGCUUUUGAGUAUGUGGAAAUGGAAGGGAGGUGAGAGGGGGGCGGGGGUUUUGGGGUGUGGUGGGAGCGGGGACAAACCUGGCGUGCGGGUGAGUGUAAGCCAUCUGAUGAGGGCCGCGACCGCGAAGAUGUAGCUCAGAUGGUGGAGCGGUAGAGCAAGAGCAGAGCGCAGCAAGGCGAUUGAGCAAUGGCGGCAACAGGUUCUCAAAUAGAUAUAGUCACUAUGUGUCGCGAUUUGUAAUAUCUAACUUCCUACCAAUUUUUUGCAGUCGAUUUGAGAUUCAUAGUUCCUAGGACUAUUAUAGUAUGCUCCCAUACAACCUGCCUAUGUUUCACAUACAGUGAUUCAAAACAGAUGAGAGCCCCGUUUUGAUAGCUAUGGUACUAAAGGUGGCACCACAUGCUUGAUGCCCAUGCACUUGGAAACCUAAUGCCCCCCAACAAGGGACAAUGCAACAUAGUCAAAGUGCUUUGUGGAUAUGCUACAUGUGAUCUUUUCUACCAAUGAACUCUACAACAUGUGAUCUUUUCUACCAAUGAACUCUACAACAUCAAAACUAUCCUUAACAAAGCAAUGUAGCUAACAAUUAUUAGUCAUAUUGCAAGCAAAAGCCACCUUGAAAGAAUGGACAACCACCACUUUGCAUCAAACAAUGGAGACAGGCUCCUUAAUAAGCAAUGGCUUCUUCAAAGUCACCUUCUCAUCAUGGGAUAGAGUCCAAUAUACCUUCAAGAUAUAAAGGUAAAGAGAUACUUUUUAUCCCAUAGAUCCCUUUUUUUCCACUAAUAACAAAGACUCACAUAGAUUCAUCUCUCUUACCAAGUCAAAGUCAAGUUCUUAAUUCUUAGCCAAUAGCUUGGUCACAAGUAGUGGCUUUGGAUCAUAGCCUCUAGCCUAGAAGAAGUAUUGUUUUUCAAAAUCUCUUUUCACCAAACUCAAUAGAUCUAUUAAGUACACUAAUGGGAGUAUCAAAUGAAUCUAUGAGAGCUCCUCCAUCCAACUAGUCUACUCCAACACAUCCUAGAUUAAAGUUGAUCAUUACAUAAGAGGACAAUUCUUCCACCUACAAUAAACCUAUUAUUCCCCUUCUGUAAUAGAUGUUCGUUGGAGUCAUGCAACCAACACAAAUAAGACACAUACUAGCUUUGACACAAGAGUGGGAAUCUACAUCAUUAAAUACAAGUAAAGAAUACAUAAUGGACCACAUCAAUGCUCCACUUUCAGCACAAAGAUAAGAUGUCCCACCUUGAUCUAAUUAAGUUCUAGCCACAUCUCUCCCUCCAUACAUACAUACAUACAUAUAUAUAUAUAUAUAUAUAUAUAUAUAUAUAUCAAUAUAGAAAUCACCAACCAUGUUACACAAGAAAAUGGAUUUCAAUUUUUUUGGAAAAAGAGACCAACAAAGAGUUGUCUCUAAUCCAAACACACAAUCUUAUUAACAUCACGGGACUCAAGCCCAAACAAAUCCAACUACAAGAUGACAUCCUUUUUUGAGGAAUUUUUCUAAGUCAUCUCCUUCACUUUCCAUCGAAAUACACUAAUCACAAGAUGCAAGGUAUUUUCUAUUUUGUUCAAAACAACUAAGAAUCUAACAAACUAUUACUACUACAGAGCAUUAAUAGAUUAGAUCGUAUUUGGAUGGCAACCAAUAGCAUUUCAACAAGACUUCAUCCUUAAAGACUAAGUCAAAUCCUAAUUAAAUCCUAAUGAAUCUUAACAAAAUCCUAGGUCAAAUCCUAAUAAAAUCCUAAUGAAAUUCUAAACAUUAGACCAAUUUUAAUGAACCUUAAUGAAAUCCUAGACAAACCUUAGACAAACUCUAGUUAAAUCCUAAUCAAAUCCAAACAAAAUCCUAAAUCCUAACCAAAUCCUAUAUCCUAAACCAAUUCUAAUCAAUCAUUAAUUAAAUCUUAAAUCUUAAAUAAAAUUCUUAAUAAUCCUAUAGCAGAUUAAAAAUUUAAUAAUAAAUAAUUGGAUUGUCAAUUAUGACUCAAACUUUACAUACCUUAUAAAAAUUAAGUCAACAACAAGCACAAAUUUUUUGAAGAAGAUUGCACAUACCAAAUAGAUGAUAAAUCCUAGAAUCUACUCAGGUAUUGGUUGGCUUCCUUCUCUAAUCUUAAUACCAAUCUUCCUCAUCCAAAAUCUCUUAAUUUUGGUAUUAAAUAUCUUUUAAUUUUUUUCAUAUAUAUUGAAAAUCAAGUCUAUUACUCAUACAAAUAAAUUUUACUUCAAUCCAACUAGCAGAUUGCUAAACGUUUUAAAAACCCUCACUAAUCCUCAAAAUCCCAAUUUUGAGACCCCAACCCAUUUAAACUUCUAUAUCCUUUAAUCUAACUAUUUGAUCAUACUCAAAUUUACAAUUUGUCAUAAGAACAACUGUAAACACAAAUCCACAAAUUUUCACUUGUAGAUCUACUACCAAACUCACAAAUUUUUCUCAAAUGUAAAUCUUUUUUUUAUUUCACAAAACUAGAUUCACCAAAAAUAACCCUAACUUGGAAAAACUCUUAUAAAAGCAUAAUAAAUUUAAAUUGCCCAAAAUCAAUGCUCAAAAAAAUUCUAUAAAGUCUUCUCUCAAAUCUCACUAUUUGAUUUGCAAAAAAACCGUGGAGUCGUUGUAGGUGCAUAGUUUUGUGCCUUGAGGUCUGAUUUUGACCUAAGUUGACAACCAAUCUUCUUUGCAUAUCAAUUUUUGGUAAUUUGAAGUAAGUUUUACUUUAAUCUAUUGUUAAUUUUCUUUUAAAUAUGUCUAUAUUAAUUUCUUAUCUCAUUUACUUUAAUUUGACUCAUUUAUGCUUCUAUAAAGUAAAUAAAAGUCUCUUCUACAAAAAGUAGCAUUAAAAGUAAACAUUUUACUAUCUUUCUAUAAUUUAUCAUUUUUUUUUUACUACAUCUUUCUAUUCAGCUCUUCUAUAAUAACAUCCAUUUUUACUUCUAUUUUUUUACCAUAUAGUCAUGUUAUCAUAUGACACCAUAAUCUUUCUUGAAAAGCACAUCCACAAUGUGAGGUUAUUUUCUUGCAAGAACACCACUACCAUAUUGAAUAUUGCAUGUAGCAAACUACCCAAUUGCAAUUCAAAGGAGGCAAAAGUUUUUGGAACAACUCCACCUGUUUUUAGGAUGGACAAUCAUUUCUAUAUUACACAAGCUAGCCCCUUGAGUCUGCAACUAUGGAGAUAUCAUUGAAUCCAAAGUUCAAUUUCUGAUCAUAGAAAUCAAUAACAAUCCCAUUGGCAGUAUCAACCUAUAUAGACAAUAAGUACAAUUUUGGAAUCUAUUCUAUCAUUUUGGGUUGGCACACAAUAUCAGCAUUGCAAGGAAUUGAAUCACCUCACUAGCAUCAACCUCCAAGCAAUAAUACCCGCAGAAGCAAUACAAGAAGCAAGAAUAAUCCUCAAAUGUCCAUUGGAAAACAUAAUCAAAUAUAAUCUAAUUGAACUCUUGAAUACCAAAUCUAUAAUAUUGACGCACUUGGAAGGCACCUCUUAAUCUCUAACAAUAAAUUCCAAGGAAUGGCUAUGGUGCAAACAGAGAUCUAUACCGAUCGCACUUUUCUACAACUACACCACAAAACGGGGGUACGGCAUCAUUCCACAGCAACAAUGUCAAUAAGAUGGCCUUCUACAAGAGCAUGCAGAUUAGAUGCUACUCCCCAAUCCAACACAAACAUUACUUUGCUAGACUCUAGAAUCCAUGGCUGUGCCAAAAAAUUUCAGCCAUGGUGUGGCUAUUGAUUGCCAAAGGCCUUUCAAUGGCAAAUGGAGACAAAAAAUCCAUUACUCAAGAAGGUGCAACCUCUGUACAAGGCAGAUGCUAGAAAUGGCGAAACACACAUUCUUUACCUGCCCGCAAGUCUCAACAACUUGCGACAAGUUACAAGUAUUUGAAGAUUAACAGACCCCUCCACUGCUAACCUCACAUGGAGAUCUGCGCUACACAGGAAACUCCCCAUGCCCAACCACAACCCAAACACACAUGAUGACUUCACUUUCUGAAACGUAGGCAAUCGGUGUUUUAUCACCAAGAGCACCCCGUGGGACAUCCUUUGGUGGGCCAUAAUCUAAUACAUUUGGUGCCAAAAAUGCAAAGACGACCUAAGGGAAGGCCAAUUCCAUCUCGGAAUAGCACUCUACCGAGCUUAGAAAAUAACAGUCUAGGUCGAAAUGAGAGCUUGGGCAGAACUCCAAAAGUUCAAGCACUACCAAUCACUUGAGCAACACAAAACAAUAGAAUCCAAAUUCCCAGAGAUAUGGUUGGAGUCUGAAAUUUUUUGCGCAAGGCAAACUCCACGCAAAUGGAAAUCUCUCACGCACCGCAAUUUCCUCCUCAAAGACCUUGCCAACCGGAUGCAAACAAUCCAUGCAUCGAUCAUCUCUUCAAUAAUGAUCCACGAAAGACUUGGCAGAACUAGAUGCCCUCAACAAAAAUCACCGCAACCCUUGAGUCCCUCCCAGACAAAACCAACGUUAGUGCAACACCACCCGCAAUAACAACCUCAUGCUCACUCGACAUCGUCCAAAGAUAGUGUCAUAAACAUCAGGGAGAAAUUCACAUGGGCGAUGGUAGAAGAGAUCCUUGUACAAAUCAUUUGCAAAAUCAAGCCAUCAAAUGAUGAUCACUCAACACUAAAUGAGUAAUUGGAUCCAAACUGAGUUCCUACGGACGCACGUGCACCCCAGCUCUCCAUCGGCACGCAAAGAAACCGAGCAAGCAUUGACACAUACAUUAGGCUAGCACUUAGGAAAUCCGGAUACAAUCGAGUCUCAAACCUUCCACGCACAGAAUCCCAAAACUCAGUUAUGCUCAGCUUUUCCGGACCUAGAUCUUAGAAUUUGUAGGAAUUUUACGGGCAUGCUUUGCAUGCCACUGUGGAUCAACCCAUUGUAAAAAAAAUUACCAUUUCAAGACCAGAUGUUUUGGCACGUCUCAGCUUAGAUGGUAGAACUACCUAUGGUGCCGAGAGCAUGAACAUGAUCUUUGGGAUGGACAAUUCCACCUCUGGGUAGCCCUCUAUCGAGCAUGGCAAACUACGGUUAGGUGGGAAUGGGCGCCUAGGCCGAACUCCAAAAAUUCAAACAAUGAAGAUCACGCAAACGACACAUGGAGUUGGAAAGCACCUUCCUCUCGAUAUGGACGUGGGCGGACCUAUUUUGCACAGGGCGAUCUCGCCUCCAAUGGAAACCAAUACCGCACCACAACUUCCUACCGCGCGAAUUUGUCAGCCACAUGCAAACGAUAAGAGAGCGCAGCCCCUCACCGGAAACAGAACCUGAGCACCUCGAAGGAACCACCCCCUCCACCGGGCCGCAGACACAAUACGGGAAUUCCGCAACCCCAUCACCUACAUUCCUCACUGCCAACUCCCAAGACCCACGACACAUCCGGAGACAGACAACACGGAAGGCAACGAUCAAACCGCAAACGCCAUGGCAGAGGAAAUCCUCGCGCAAUUCACUACCCCUCUACCACCAAAUCGCGAAGGACACAACGGGACCAGCCUCCUGCAUCAAAACACAACACGGGCCCCAAACUCCUCCCCAACAGGACCAACAACAGUGCAACACCGCCCGCAACGCCACCCCCCGCCUCUGUCCGAAGAUAGCGAAAUGACCAGGGAGCAACUUGCACGAGAGAUGGUAGAAGACAUCCUUGCACAAAUCCUUGCAUUCUUCCACUGUAUUUGCAUUCUCCCAAUUCUGUUGCAUAUCAUGGAAAAAAAAUAAAAGCGUUUCUGAUAUUUCAUCAAUAUGUUGACUAUCAUGUACGAGUUAUGUUGUGACCUUUCCCACUAUGUUACACCAAUUUUUUAAACACAUUAAAAUGUAACACAUGAUCUGGAACAGGGUAGAGGAGUGUGAAGCCACCAAGUAAACAGGUACACCUUUUAACUCUUUUGGGAUCUACGAUCCUAAAACCACACCUUGUUAGCCAUACCGUUGUUCUGUGUAAAUGUGUUGUUCAACUCUUAAGCUUUUUGAGACUGAGCACAUUCCUCCUCUUCAAGCUUUCUCUACCUGCAGUAUCUACAAUGAUUUGCACCAAUUAAGACCUUCGCUACUGUUCUUGGAACCCUUUUUUUUUUUUUUUUUUUUUUUUUUUUAUCGCGGUGUGGAUCGCCGGAAUGACGUGUGUAAUGUCGCCCUGUACAAAACUCAGACCCAAAAGAAUCAAACAUAGUACACCAUGCCGACAUGAAGUAGGCACUCGUGCGGGAUGUUGAGCACCACGCUGCUGUCUCGGCUUAUCCUUCGCAGAAAGGUAUACAUGUAGUUGAUCACCAGCUUCUUGAAAAAUCCUGCAUCCUUUCUCGCUUUCACGAUGUUGUUACCGAGUAUGUACACCACGCCAGCAUCUUUGCAUGCAUUCAGGAAGGCAACUUCGUCUUGCGGAUGCGGGCUGCUGCUGCUGUUGCUGCCGUUGACGCUCAGGUUUGGAAUACUGCAUUCCUGGUUAGCAGACAUCUCGACCGAGUUCGAGGCGGUCUGGGAGUACUGAGUGGAAUAACCGUCGCCGACGCUGUUGCCUCCGCCCAUCAGACUGUGUAAUCUCAGCAUUCUUUGCAACUGAAGCCGGUUUGGAGUGAUCGUCGACGUAGUUGGCACCGUGGCCUCCUCCAUCGGCUGUUGAUCUGGGGUCCAGCUUGCAGCCAUGGACUCCCGGCCUGAGCUCUCUCUCAUAGACUCAAUCUCGACGAAACUGAUUAAGCUUUGAAUUAGCAGUUGCUCGAAGUUGUCAUCUUUCUUGUGGAGGUCUAUGUAGCCGUAACGUGCUGCACAACGGUACAUGGAAUAAGCUCUUGAACCGAUGCGACGGAUUAGAAAUCUCUCAUCUUGUGGUACCGUGUUCACUGGCAGGUAUUUAACGCAGACGAAGACUACGGUGGAAUGGAUGGCGGGGAGAUUGGUGAUGAAAUGCGAGAAUAGCGGCGGCACUCCAUGAGCGAGAUCUGUGUACAUGAGACCGAUUCCGGGGACACGAACGAGGCCGAGGCUAGGUCCAAGCCCAAGCAACCAUCCCACUGAAACCUUGUGCUGCAUCUCAUACUGGUAGCGUUUCAAGGUUCCGUAAUGCCAUGUGCCCAUGACUGUGCCGAAGACCACCGAAAUGACCAGCGGCACCCAGCCUCCUUGAGUUGUCUUGAAUAGGACCGCACUGACAUAAAUUCCCUCGAUUGAUGCGAACACGACAAGGAAUAGCAAGGCAAGGAGGAAGUGCUUCCGCCAAAUGAUGAUUAUCACUAGGGUCAUCAGGAGGGUGGUGACGAUCAUGACCAUCACCACGGCGAUACCUGCACACACGUGGGCAGAACGUGGGUAAAACUUCGAUUUGUUCUUAUUAUUGUCGGCGAGGAAGUCAUAAACUUGAUGGUUUUAGUGGCGCACAAUAGGAAAAAGAGAUUACCGUAAGCAUUUCCGAUUUGGUCCGUGUCUCGGAAACCAGCUGUGACGCAGAGGCAGAGAACCAUAAGAAUCCAGUUGAUUUCGGGGAUAUACACCUGUCCUGCAACAUUAUUUGAUGUGUGCACAACCUUCACUCGAGGAAAGCAUCCCAGAGCUGUCGCCUGCUUCACGAUAGAAAACGUGGCGGAGAUCAUGGCUUGGCUCGCUAUCAUGGCUGAUAUUGUUGCCAGCACGAAGAUUGGCCAGUAAAUACUACCUACACAGAAUCAGCACAGAAAAUUGUGAACCAAGUACAACUAUUUUUAAAUACGUCACAAAAAAAUUAAAUAAAUUAAAUAAAUAAAUCAAACUCCAUUUCCUACAAAGGAUAGUGAUGGCAUUUCUUUUUGCACGAAGAGAUCUAGUACAGCAUGAUGAAAGUCUGACAAGAAAGCUAUGAUCAUAAGGAGUAGAAGACGGCGCUACAUACUCGGCAGUGAGGAAUAAAAGGGAUCGUUAACGUCUUCCAUAUGUUCCACGAGGUAAGCAGCUUGCCCGAGGUAAGUCAGAAAUAAGCACGGGUACACUAGAGAAGUGAAGACAAUCUGCACAGAAACAAUAAAUUUGCUUCAGUGGUGGGGUGAACAAACCUAAGAGCGACUGGUGUGGACAAAGGCUUUGUGGUCAAGUGCAACGAGUCCGCUCGCAUGUUUUCUUUUACCUGAAUAGACCGACAACUGAAAUGGCCCAAGUCGGCAAACAACGCUUCAGUCCCUGCAGUUUGAAGGCCAAACGUAGGAUUCAAAAACUGCUAAGUAGGUUUCAAGUCAUUUGUCCAAUUUAAUUUCUAUUCAGGCUUCAGCUUGAACAACUUGUCUGCAGAAAGAGACGAUAAACAGUUUAUUAUGGGCAUUUUCCUGUAAUAGAAUGAAUCAAAGCCAAGUUGUGGGGUGCAUUCACACCUGUCAUACACAGCACGAUGCCUCCGAGAUGCUCCCACCCCUGUCUUCCAUUCCGUCUGAAGAAGUGUACGAUUUGAAGGGGAUUGAAGGCUAAGAAGAUUGAUUUCUCCCAUUUGAUUAUGUUGUAGCAGCCGAUACAGGCAAGAGAUAGGAACCAAACCAAGAAAAUCGGUGCGAACAAGACUGAGAUUUUCGCUGUGCCGAAGCGCUGUACGCUAAAGAGGAUGACUAAGAUGACGCACGAAAUGCCUGUCACCAAAUCUGCAAGAAUGGCGCUGAGAGAUUAGAGUAAAGUUGAAUGCACGCAACAAUGGAUCGCAAAACUUGAAAGAAAGAAAUAACUGAUCUCGCUGUAAAACUGUUGCUGAGAUAAAUAGACCGCUGCCAAAUGUGGGUUCUUAAGACUGAGAGCUCACAGCCCAGAAUCCAGAAAACUGUGAACUGAAGGUAAAUGCUUACUAGUAUCCAAGGAGGAAGAAGCAGCUUUAAUUCCAACAACUGCCGAUAAGACUGCAGAGCGCAAAAAAUGAAGCAGCAUUAGUCUUCCGGGACACCACCUGUAUCUUCUUCAAGUAAUCACGAACAGAUAGAACACCAUAUUGCGACAUCUUUAGAAGGUCAUCAUAUUGUGAAAAAACAUUUCGCCGAUAUAGAUAGGCGCUCAUCAAAGGCCUUAACCCCUAACUCUCACAGAUAGCCACAAGAAAAAGCUACUGCGAGAAGGAUUCUGAUCAUUUGUUCAUUCGUUAACGGUAAGAGUUUAUUGUGCACCUGAGAUAGACGGGGUUAAUAUGCCGUCGCCGAUAACCAUGCAAGUCCCGAAGAGCACAAUAACCAACAACACUUGCUGCGCAAGCACACUACUUUCCAGCUUCCUCUGAAUCCAGGUUUUGCGGCGGGCGUUGUCUACGACAUACGUGGUAAGCUCCGCAUCGGAAGGGUGUUGAUUUGGCAGGGCGCUUAUAUUACAGUAACGACACAGCAAUGAAUAGAGAGCGAAAGAACCCCCUGCGCAAAACGAGACAAUUUAGAUGAACUAAAUAAUCAUCCUCCAGUAUUUCGCAAGCAAAUCCACUAGGCAAUCAAUACAAGUAAUCAAACCAUCCUCCGAGAUUCCAUACAUUAAAGCAAUUACCUUCGCCAUUGUCAUUUGCUCUGAGCACGAUGAAGACGUAUUUAAUCAAGGGGAUAAUGGUGAGGGUGUAGAUAAUGAGGGAUAGAGCUCCAAUGAUGUCAUCCUCGUUCCUCACUCCUCCAUUAGCAAACGUGCUCUUGAAAACAUACAACGGUGAUGUGCCCAAGUCUCCGUAGACCACCCCAAGGCUCUGAAACGCUAGGCACAACACCACACUCGGAGGCAUAGUCUACAAGGCCCCAAAAACCACAUGUUAGGUCACCCAAGUCAUUCGGAAGCCCUAAGUCAACUCUUUCCCUCACUACAAUGUCAAGCAUGUCCUACUGGAGUUGUUGACAUCUCCUUUGCAUGACGCUCUCAAAAUGCCGGGCCUAUGAGACGCCACGGAGUAAAUGGUCGUAAAUCUUCACAGAAACUAUCACAGAAACUAGCCAAUAUGCGUGGCACGAUGCCCUCCAGAAUCCCUGUCGAAAACCCUCAACCGUGCAGUAACUUCUUAUAGGAAAACCAGGAGUGCGCCGGAACCUUCUCUAAUUCCUACUGGCAUCACUUGGAUCUGGAGAGAUAUUGCUUCUAUAUCAAAUUUGAAAACCUCACGGUAGAGAGAGAAACUCUAUGAUUAAGUUCACUACCAUGCAUUCAGCUGAGAUUCUCCGCAAGCUCAUCUGCAGGAAACGAAAGCUUCACGUACACAACAUACACUGAGAAAACCAACGUUUCUCAAACCAUACAGACUUUACUCAGCAUUAUUAAUCCUUCAAGUUUCAGGCAUGCACUACCUUAGAAAAAAUUCUAAUUGAAUCCUGGAAUCGUAGCCCUUCACAGCCUUGGAACUAGGUCGCAAUUCUGAAUAGCACAUCGAGAAUGACCAGCCUGUGCAUUUUACUUCAUUUUUAUCAUCACUAAGAGCAAAUUUGGAAAGGUGGGAUGUGUUGAGAGAAAGAAAGAAAUAACAGCGAGGUAGGAACGACCUAAUAUCCUGAAGCCUCCUACUAAGUCGCUAUCCGAUUUUGUCCAAACUAAGUCCACUGCAAGGAGUGACGGAAGAAACGACCGACCGCAACAAGGACUACAAUUCACAUUGAACAAAACCAACGCUCAAACCAAACGCCACUGAAUUGUACGCUCCAAGCUCCGACCCUACAUUAUAGCGGCAACAACACUCGACCCCCAAAACCCAGAAUUGCCACUACGAUGCAGCAAAUUCUCUCGUAGCAAGAGCCUUAGUCGAAGGAGUGACACUUCCAUACAAAAAUCCACACAAACCACUUUCGUCUAUGGCCUACACCACAGACGUCCGGCCAAUAUCUGUCCGAAAUUCACACCGACAAGUCGCAGUAAUCUAGAGGUUCAUCAGAAUGCGUUGCGAAUUAGUCACCAAUUGCAUGGAACCCCCCCCCCCGAGUGCUUAAUGCAGAUGAAGUGGCUCAAGAUCUCAGCGAAUGCACGACGCACCUGGUCGCGAUACAUGGACCUAACAUGGUCGGCUUCGGCACCCAGCGGCUGGUCGAUCCGCUGAUCCAUGUCCCACAGGCGCCCUUGGUUGGCCUGCUGGCCGUUGCGACCACCUCUCCCAUCUUCGGCGUCCUCCGACACCGUAGUGGUCGACAUGAUCCUCAGACGGCGAGCACAAUGGCGGGCACACUAGCCACAGUUCCUUCACUCACCACACUGAUCAUUCAGAGCAGGCAAUCGCCAAUCGAGCUCCGAGGCACCACCACGAUGCUUUAAACCGUCCCACGAUUCCCAAUCGAGCCUUGUCCUUGCCCAUGCGACGCCGCAACAUCCGAUGCAGAAUAUAGAAGAUACAAGGUGGGGGCUUCGCCCCCACUUUGCCAGCAUCUCCUCGUGAGCCAGCCCCACCAGUAUGGGCACCGGAUCAAUAUUCCAUUUAUUACUCUACUUGGGAGAAAAUUCGGCCAAUUGAGCCCGGGUUCACGCUAUUGGCGGGAUAAUUUCUUGCUUUUCGAACGACAUACUAGAAUAUCCUAUAGAAACUAAGCCUGAUCUCCAUCAUCUUCUCAGAGAAGGUGCUUCGAAAUCACCGAUAUCCUCUCGAAUGUCUGAAUUGUUCCUGAAAGUGUCAGUGAAUGUGUUGGGGUCCACCUUUCGGCAAUUGAGACAGGCCCCGUGUGGGGACCCGGCAGAGGAAUACACGUGAUCUCGAGGUUCUAAUUUCACUGCAACUCUCUCUCGUUCUCACCCGUCGGGCUCCGAAAACACACCGCCCGCCGCUGGAUGCAAACUUCAUUCAUCCAUGAAUGUAUGUAUUCAUCCAAUUGUUCCGUGCGAAUGAUUCCGUAAGGGUGUAUGAAAGUCAUUCGGUCUUCAUCCGUAACCAUCCAAUUGGAUUCGCCAUUCCGCCUCCACAACUUUUGCUUUGCUAGUUUUCAAAAGUAUAUGGCUUGUUUAAUAAUAAUUAAAAAUUUCCUCGAGAUUAAUAGUGUUGAAAGGACAUUGUUUGUUUGUUUGUUCUUUAUACAAAUACUGAAAUUCAAAAGCGUGAAUGGUCAAUUUAAGCAGGAUUUUGCAUUUGAUGGCCUAUUCUGCCUCCGAAGAACGCUACGCAAAGUUAGUUAGCGUUAUGCAAAUCUGCAUAAUGAUAAAAUAACAAUGAGCUUUUAUAUUUUUAUUAAUUCAGACAUCGAUGUAAACUCAAAAUCCAAGUAUUUCAAGAUUUUGAUAUUGUGUAUGGACAUAAACUACAAAAAAACAAACAAACAAACAUACCGAUUUAUUAGCCAAACACUGGUUCAAAAUGCACUGCACACCUAUGUCUUGGAUAUGAUGUUCAUUAGCUAAAUAAAAUCAAAUAAAGUAGUAUGAACCCAUAUACCCUGGACUUGAUUUUAAAACACACAUACACACAUAUCUAUUUAUAUAUAUAUAUAUAUAUAUAUAUAUAUAUAAGUAUGAAAUCUCAAAUUGCCUUUUUCAGUACUAUGAAACAACAUAUUUAUUUCUAUGGGUGUGCCCUCUGUGGACGGAUUGUGUUCCAAAAAGGGGAAAAAAAUGAUAUCGUAGGCAGUAAUUCUCACUCAAUUGUUGGUGAGAGAGAGAAAGAGAGCAAGAUGAGCCACCUCUCAUUUGGCAUCAAAUCCUCGCAUUUUCGUGGGUGGUGGGUGAGUAGUGGACUCCCACGCGGGAACCCUAAUUUCUAAACAAGAAAGCUCUUUCCUCGCUGCUUCCUUCCUCAGGAGUGCGUGCCAGCAGCUUCCUCGAAAGCUCCCAAAGUCAAUCUGCCCGCUCGUCGCAUCUGCACUGCCACGUGUCCGCGUCGUACACGCCGUAUACUUUGGCGAAUCAUUGUAAGGGGAAUGCCCCAGUAGAGAACAAAGGUUGGAAAUAGGAGACUAGGGAUAGGGAACAAUAAUGGAGAGAUUGGGGACUUAAGACAAAUGCCAGGGACAUGAGAUAGAUCAAAACAAGGAGGGUAUGGCUUUAACAACUCCCUAUAUAAAUUGCAAUCAUAAUAAUUAUUUUUUUGCAUCAUAUUUUCCCACACCCAUCUCUCAUUUUUACUCGGAAAACCAACCUUGAAAUCUGAAGCCUUCAACCAUGGAUUUUACACACAAUCUGACUUUUAAAAGACUUGCACAUUUUAAAUUUCAAUUGGAAAAUUUUAGAAUUCACAAGUACAUAAAAUAGAAUUUAAUAAUUUAAUAAUGUUUAAAUUAAAAUGAGCUGUGUUAUCUUUUAAUUUUAAUUGAAAGAUUAUAAUACAACAUCACUAAUAUUUUAAUCAUAAAACUAUUUCAAAAAGAAGUAGAAAGAAGAAUAAAAAAAUAAAAAUAAAUAAAAACUCUAAUUAAGGUUAUUAUUGCCAUCCAUAAUAGUAAAGAACGGGAGUAAAUGACAAGAGCUAGGAAUGAAGACACAUAAUGACAGUUGAGGACAUGAGAUAAAGGCUGGAAAUAAAGAUAAGGGAUGAGGGUUGAGAAUGAAGACAAGAGAUAAGGAUUGAGAAUGAAGACAUGAAAUGAGGGUUGGGAAUGAGGAUGAGGGCUGAGAAUGAAGAGGGUUAAAGUCAUGGGUAAGAAAGAAGGGAUUAAUGAUAAGGAAUAGAGAUGGAGGAUUGGAGAUGGAAGAUAUACUAAAUUAAUCAUGAAGUUGUAAAGGAAGUGUAGUAUUGACUAAAAAGGGAUGUGGCUUUAACAACUUUAUUUAUUUAUUUAUGCCAAUAAAUAUAAAUAUAAAUAUUUUGGAAUUGAAUCUUACAUGUAAAUCAAAGUUUAAUACUAAAAAUCUUCUAACUUAAGCAAUGGACUUAAAACAUUCAAUAUAGUUGUGUUUUGAAAGAAGUAAUACAAAAACUAUUUGAAUUCUUUACAAAUUUAAGAAAUAUUUAUUCUUUGUGAAAUAUUCAUUAAUGGAUAUAAAUAAUUAUAAGUAAUUAAAUCAAUUGUAUGAUGUAUUGCCUAAAAAACUUAUAUUAAAUAUAUAUAUAUAUAUACACAUAAAUAAUAAUAUUAUUAAAUUAUAAUUUUUUUUGUUUAUUUGAAAAUAAAAUAAUCACCUCUUAUGCCAUGAUGUUUUUCAAUUGGAUUAUAGAUAUGAAACUUAGUGCAUAUAUGGAUAUAUAAUUUAUUAUUUAUUCUCUUUAGAAAAAUAAAUUUGAAAUGAAAAUUUUUCAUUCAAUAAUUUUGAUGAAAUCAUUAUUUAAGUUUAAGUUUACACACAUUAACAUAUGUUUAUAUGCAUAUAAGUAUCUAUAUUUUGUGAAUGUCUCCAGAGUUAUUAUUAUUUUAACAACGACAUAAACUAAAUUUAUUUUUAUUUUUAAAAUAGUUUCCAAAGUAAAUUUUUUAUAUUUAAUUGAUCAAUAGUUAAUUAAUAACUCUUAGUAUUAAGAGUUAAUAGGAAUUUUAAAAUUAAAAUUAAAUUAAAAAAAUUAACUAUUUUUUUUUCUUCAAAAAAAGUAGAGUUUAAGUGGCAUAUUAAAGUCAAACUAUAAUAAAGAUUACCUUGAUAUAAUUUAUUUGAUUCUGUAAGAACAUUUUUAUACUCCUUCAAAAUUACAAAGCUAAUUGUUAAGUUGUUCAUAAUUAGCUUUCUAUACUCUCUUAAGUGUUACGUAUAUAUGGAUAAUAAUUAGAUUUCAUAUUUGCUAGUCAAAUAUACUUAAUUUUGUUCAAAUGAACAUAAAAAUACAAGUGGACUAUCUAAUCACUGCAAGUAGAAACCUUCUGUUCAUUCUAAAAAUAAAAAUAAAAAGUGAUUUCUAACUUCCUACUAAAAAUUACAAACAUGUAUUUAAAUUCUAAUUUUUUAACUUUUAAAAAUUGUUUAUGCAUAAAAGAGCCAUAUUUUUAAGGAUUUUGAAAGUAAUUUGUGAUAUUUGUGAUACUUAUGGCAAAAACAAGUAUGAAGAGAAGAAAAGAAUUUGUAUCUUGUGAAACUUGUUAUAAGAAUUAUCUAACAUAUAUAAUAUAAUCACAUGAUUUGCACAUAAGGAUUUUAUGAAUCUAGUAUAAUUCUGAUGUAUGUUUUUUUAAAUUAGUAUGUAGAAGUUGUUAUUAUUAUUUUUUUGUUUUUACUUCUACAAAACUAAUUUAAAGAUAUUUUGUAUUACAUUUUCAAAAAAUAGAUUUUAAUAUCUUGUUUCUUAAGUUUGAAAGUGAAAAAAUACAUUUCAAGAUAUGAUUUAGUAAUCAUGUUAAACCUUAUUUGGUAGUUUUUUUAAAAAACUGAAUAAUAUCUAAAAUAAGGAAAAACAUGUUUAUUUUUAUUUUUACUUAUUUAAAGUGAGCAUCUAAUCAAGGAACAUCUUCUCUAUGUUACAUUUCAUUUUAUGUCAAGUACAUUUUUCAGUGAAUAAAUAAACAAAUAAAACCUGAUGUACACAAACAGAUCUAGCAUGUCAUAUGUAAAGUAUACGUUAAAUAUAAUUGUAAAUUUUAAUAACAUGUAGAACAUGAUACAUACAUACAUACAUACAUUAAUUUAAAAAUAUUGAUACUUUCUUGUUUCUUUCUAUAAAAAUAAAUUAUAAAGAAAUUGAAGAGUUCCCAAAAUAAUUUUUGAGAAAAAAGCAUAAAAUUCUGCCUCAUUUAAUAAAAAAAUAUUGCAUUCCUAUUUUAGAAAUUUUAUUGUGAUUUUUUUAAAAAUGUUUUUUAGUUCAAAAUUUUAUUUUAAAUUACGCUUUAAAAUUUUAUUUUUAUUCUAAAUUAUAUUUUUCCAUAAAUUAUUUAUGAUAAAAUAAAAUAAAAAAUGAAAGUAAACCAAAUGGAAAGUCUUGGGCGGACACCGGUUAGCUCACGGUAACGCGGGGGCGCAGACGGCCACGGGUUCCCACGGUAACCGAAUCUCAUGCCUACAACCGCGUGGACAAGAGCCAGGGAAUUUGGCGAUGGCGAGGGGGCGAGGGAGGGAGGGAGGGAGGAGGGGUUUGAUCGAUGCUAUACACAGUCGGACCCUUUCCAUGCCUCAAAAUUGCAGUUUGAUGAGUAGGUAAAUCUGCGGCGCACUUGAUGACAAUUGGGUCGUAAGCAUGCUCAGAUGCGUGGCCCACCUGCAGCUCCGAUUCUUGCAUCACUUCCAUCGCCGUGCGCUCUCUGGAGCUGCUGGACUCGUUUUGCCUCGCGAUUCUUCGCUCCUUGGCUACUCGAGGAAUUUCGCUCCGGCUACGUCCAUCGGACGCUGCAGCAGCUACAUUGCCACCGCUGCCUUCACUCGGUUGGAUAUCUCUAGGUGCGAAUGCUCUCCCAUGAGCUCGCGCUGCAUUUUGCUGGGCUUGUAGUUUUUUGUGGGUUAUGUCAAAUUUUCUUUGUGGGAGAGACGAUGUUUCAAUUGUUUAUUUAUUUAUUUGUUUAUUUAUUCGUGUGUGGAGUGUUGUGUUGUGCCAGCUGAAACGUCGGCCUGUGACUCAUGGGUUUGUGGAUUAAUGUGAACUGUUUAGAAGGCAGGUUUGGUGUAAUCUUUGGACUUUAAAUUGGACAGUCCUAAGAGUAUUGGAUUUUUUUUGUUUUAUAUGAAGAAAUAUAUCCGUAGAUACUGUCUUUUGGACAUGCUACAUCUUUUUGAUAAUCGAAACUGUGAGCUUUUUGUUAUGAUUUAGCAAAAUGAACAAUAAAUGUCACCUUGGAAACGAUCAUGUUUUGUUCAACGAUGGGACUUAAUCGGCUCUUUGGAACUGGAUCGCUGAUUGGGGCAUCGGCAGCUGGCUACACGGGGUGUUCUUUGGCGGCAAUAGACAGGGUUUCUAGAUUACAUGGAUAGAAUUGUGUGCACAUUGAUAGCCGCUGAAAGUGCUCAAACUCCUACGUACUGUCGUUCGAUUUGUGUAAAGGAUGGGUUCGUUGCAGCAGAUUACAAUGGAUUUUAUCUUUGAUGCAGAUGUGAAACUCUUGCAUUGGGAAAAACGUCCGCAACCAUCAACGACAUGAAUUUGAGCACGCAAGCUAACACAGGGUUGGCGAAGAGCUUCUGGGCUAGUUGUAAGAGAGAGGCUUAUGCAUCACUCUACCAUCCGUUUGUGGUUGCGUUAGCGGCUGGCACCUUGCCAAAACAAACUUUUCAACGUUACAUGGCACAGGAUGCCUAUUUCUUGGAGGCGUUCAAGAAUGCGUGAGUGUCCAAACCAAUGCUUCCGUCGCAUAGCAGGCAAUUUUUAGAGUAGGAUAGCUUAACAAUCAGCAUCAUAAUGAAUUGCUUUCUUGUUUGUAGGUUUCCUGACAGAGUGAUCUGGACACGUUCUUGCAACACGUCUUCAUAUUCUUAAAGCUUCUUCUUCUUCGCACAGCGUUUUGUUUUGUGUUUUCACUAUUUUGUGGCCCAUCUUCUGACCUUGGAAUCUGCAAUCAUUCCAGGAAUUUGGUGGUCAUGGAACAGUAAGAUUCUAUAUUAAGACACUUAGCAUACAAUCAAACAAUGUUUCUUUAAGUGUAGCUCCUUCCUCAUGUUCCGAAUUUCAUUGAUUGCGGCGCAUACUUUACAGGUAUCAACUGGCUAUGGAAACCACUACAGACGAAGAGGCAAAGGCCAUCAUUGAGUCCCUUCAGAGAGAUGUGCAGGAAGAGCUCAAUUUGCACUCGUCGAUCAUGCAGGUGCUUCGUGAAGUUACAGAAUUCCUUGAAUGUUCCCUCUUGAACGAUAUAUCCAGUACAGUUUCUAGAGAAUUGACCCUUCUGAUCCUAUAAACUUUCCUUUGAUCAUGCAUUACAAUUGUUGUAUCUUCGAUAUUUUUAUUUAUGACUAAGUAGUUUGUCAGGUCGAUUUUGACGUACCUUGGGAGAAUUUUAGAUUCUGGAUGGUUGCUAUAACUCCAGAGAAUGCAAUAGUAAUUGGUUUUUGGGUUAGUGUAACUCGUUGUAUAAAACGAUUAUUAGUCCUGUAAUUGUUGGUAUGUCUGGACCUUAGUAAUGGCGGUAAUUUAUUGUUUGACUGCAGUCUUUGGAUGCUACCGAUCAGAAUUGCUUUGAACCAAACAUGGCAACAACAGCGUAUUGUGAUUUUCUGCUAGCCACAGCUACAGGAAGUAACGAAGCACAAAAAUUUGGAAGCACAAGUGCUCAAAUCAUAACCGCUAUGACUCCUUGCAUGCGGCUAUAUGCAUUUUUGGGGCAGGAGCUCAAAAAACACGUUGAUCAUGUUGCUGACCAUCCUUACCAGGAGUGGAUUGAUACUUACUCUGCUGCAGAGUUCGAGGUGGGAAUCUUGUAUCUGUUGGAAUGACAAGUUUAAAUUAUGCUGCGUAGUCUUCCUAGAAUCAUGCACUAAGCCAAAAUGUUGCUGUGCAUCGUACAUCCUAUUGGGUGAUUUAACUUCUGGAAGUCUCAGCUUUGUUUUCUCUUCUGAAGGAAACUAAUCAUUCAUGCAGGCUGCAGCUUCGAAGAUUGAGCAGCUGCUAGACAAGUUAACUGCUACUUUGACUGGAAAGCAUGAAAUAGCAUUCUUAGAAAGUCUCUAUCUUCAAGCCAUGAACUUGGAGGUGGAUUUCUUCGGUGCUCAGCUGUUAGGGCCUGUGCUCGUACCCUUCCUCAAAUGCCAACCGGCUCCAGAGAGCUAUAUAUUACUUGCGUCUGACUUUGAUUCCACGUGCACGAUAUCUGAUUCAUGCCCCAUAUUGGCAGACCUGACCGUGCAAACUGCGCGAAAAUCUCACGGUGGUCGUUCAGUUGGUGAAUCAGGGGCCAGCUUGUUGAAAAAAAGAUGGGAUGAUCUCGUCAUGCAGUAUAUGGACGAGUAUGAGGACGUUCUGAAGCGAAGCCUGGUGAAAAAAGAUAAUGGUGAGGUACUUGUAACCUUGGAUAUUUUGCACUCCAUUUUUUCGUAAAGGAGAUUUCCUCUCCUGCAAGGCAUGGAAGUUUUGAAGUUCUUGAAAUGUUCCUUUACUGUCCUCUUUCCUAUCCUUACAUUAUGAUGUCGCAGGCAGUGUUAAUGCGCUCAGUGCAGAGAAUCUCCAAGAGUUUCUGAAGGAAAUGUCCAACUUCGAACAGAAGGCCAAUGCGAGGGUCGAAGAGGCUGCAGUUCUAAAAGGCUUAUCUCUGGCUUCGAUUCAAGAAGCUGGAAAAUCCAUGCCUCUUCGUGAGGGCUGUUCUGACUUUUUUAAGCGUCUGGAAUCAGGAGAGGUUCUUGUUGACACAUGUAUAUUGUCUGUGUGCUGGAGCAAAACCUUCAUCGAAGCUGUCUUGGAAAAGGGUAAGUCCUCUGAUACAACUCUCGUCCUCCAGAUUUGGAUCACACGCAUACGCACAUUUAUUAUCAUAUCCCCAAAUGUUUUCUAUUGUUGCUUGAGAAUGAGUUCCUUCUGACGCAUGACUGCUAUUUUCUCAUUCAUGGGGUUUAUUUUUCGCAGGUGAAGUUCGUAUUCCAAACAUCAAUGCCAACGAGCUCGUUUUCGAAGGACGCAUUUCCACCGGUGCUAUUAUCAAAAACGUCGAAACGGCUCUUGACAAGCAAAGACACUUCGUUCAGUUGCUGGAUAAUCUAAAACCAACUCAAGACGUGCUGUCCAUUUAUGUUGGUGAUAGUCUGACUGAUCUUCUCUGCCUAAUCAGAGCAGACCUGGGUAUAGUUCUCGGUGACAGCAGCGCUCUGAAGCAGGUGUAUGGGCCAAAAAUGGCCCCCCUCUUCAUGAAAGCCAUACUCUUGGAGCAGGCAAACAUGCGAGGCAGGCAGCAACCCACAGGUUACGUCUUCACUGUCUCCAGUUGGUAUGAGGUGGAAGCCUUUCUGUUGGGUCCUGCUAGAAACAGACCUUUGUACAUCUAGCUCUAUUUUUUAUGACAAAGAAGAUCACUGUGAUGCUAAAACAAUGUGUUGAGUUGAGUGCCAGUUGAUGUUUCGAUUGUUUUUAUGGCAUUUUCAUUCUUAGCAAAUUAGAAAGCAAGUUCAUUCCAACAUUCUAAUGUUUACAAGGGAUUGAUUGCUAUCAAGUUUUCCUUCAUUGUUCAUUGCUGCCUAAAGGAACCAGUGUUCGAUUUACCUCCAUUUCAUUCGAAGGCUUUGUGUGUUGUUCCUGCACCAUGCUAGCAGUCCUAUUCGUUCGUGUUCACUUCAUUUUCAAUGUAAUUUUUCAUCCUUCACAAUACUUAUUGUUCUUCCAGUUAAAAUAUUAAUUACUAGUGAUGGAUUGAUUGAUGAUUCUGCAAGCAUGAGAUGAAAAUAAAAUUUUAAGUAAUUGUCAAUGUAAAGUUUUAAGAAUCUUUUGUGUACAUUUUUAAUUGAUUCGUAUCAUGAGUGUAUUUUAUAAUACAUAAUAUUAAUUAAAUAUAAUAUAAUCAUGUAUUUAACAUUUAUUUUAUCUCUUUGGUCAACAACAAACUUAAAUCUUACAUAACAUGUUAUGUUUAUUUAUUAAAAUUUUCAUUUAAUAACCACUAAUUAUAUAUAAUUUAUCAUUUUAUUAAAAAACUAGAAAUAAUAUUUUUUAUCAUUGAAGAUAUAUUAAUUAAAUUCAAGUGCUUAUAAAUAAAUAAUUAUAAUUAAUUAAAAAAAUAUUUAUAACAUUUAGUUAUUUUAAAAUCUCACUAUUAGAACUUUUAUUGUAUUAGUUAGAAAUUUUAAUAAGAAAUAAUAAUAGCUCAUUUAUUAUCUAAAUUUCUAUGAACUGUUAUACAUUAAAUAUAGUAUUAUUUUGAAUUCAUGUCAUUAUUUAAUUUAACUUUUAAAUAAAUUAGAUAUAAAUAAAUUAUAUAUAAAUAAAUUAGAUAUAAAUAAAUUAGAUAUAAUUAUUUUUUAAAACUUUGUAAACACUCAAAAAUAGAGAAAUUUAAUUUAAUUAAAUUAUCUGUAUAAAAAUAUUUUUUAACAUUUUAACUUUAACUUUUAUGGAGUAAAAAUAUAGUGGAUAGAAAUGUAGCACCUUGCAUAUUAAGAAACAUAGUAGUGCAUUGACAUGUUCCAAAGAUGGUUAAAACAUUAAACACAACCCAAUUAAAGAUAAGAUCUUUAUACAAGCUUUUGUCUAAAUAUUUGGUUUUAAACAAAACCUAUAUUAUUUCUACAAUAAUAAGAUAAUACUUCUCUUUUAUUGAAGUCAUUCAAAUACAAUAUUUUAAUUAGACUUGGUACUUAUUUCGCAACUUCAAAGACAAAAUUAAGAUGCUUCAAAUGUGCUUCAUAGCUUGUGAAUCUACUAUUUUGUUGUAACACAACUAUUGGAUGAAAGAACAAAAGAACAUCUAUAUUACGAAAGAGCUCAAUUGAAGAUUCAAUAAAAAAAAAUCUUUUAGAAAUUAGAAUUCAAAGAUAAGAAGAAGUAGAAAAAUAGUGUCUAUAAUGUUUUUUUUGUAAAAAGAUAUAAGGAAAAAUAAGGUAUGUAAGCAAAAACAUAACUGUAGGCACCUUCAAAUAAAAGUAAAGCUUAUUUUUUAGCAAUAAAUUAUUCAAAUCUUAGAUUGAUAUAUGGAGACGACUAAUUGUGAACCAAGGUUUAAAUUAGACCCCAAAAUACAAAAUUUCAUGCUUAUGGCAUGUAUAAGGUUCUUUUGUCAAUUACAGAGCAAAAAUAGAGAAUAAUAUUUAAGAAUAUACUAUGUGCAUUGGUUUUGAACAAUUUUAGUUUUUAAUGACUUUGAGAGAGCUAUUCAAAGUCAAGGUUUGAUUUGGAUGACUUUGUCAUUUUAAAAAUAGAAUGAAGUUUAUAUUUUAGAAGAUUUUAUGAAUUAUGUAGUACAUCUAUAUGUUCUUUUUUUUCUUUCUUUCUUUUUUUUUUUUUUUUUUUUUUUUUUUUCUUUUUGCUGAUUUUUUGUUGGAAUUAUACAAUAAACUUGACCUCAAUUGGUAGAUCAAAUUAAAAGUUAUUAUAGUUCAAAUAUAUUAAAAAUAUUAAUAAUUAGAAAUUUGAAGAUCACUAAGGCUUUCUAAGAUUUGCAUCAAUCUAACAUUUUGAUUGAGGUUAAGUUUAUAAAAUUGGUAGGUAACUUGAAUUCUAUUAUCUCUGCAAAUUUUGGAAGGACAUUAACAAUUCUAAAAGAAGAUUUUGGUGUUGGAAGUUCAAUAUCAAGGUUAGAGAAGGAUGCUACCUUACACCUAAAUAAAUUAUUGGUCAUUUUUUUCAAUUUGUAUAUUUGAUUCUCUUUAAUUUUCAUAAUAUUGUUUUCAACCACGAUUUUAAUAAGUAUGUAAACUUUGAAUUAAAAUCAAUGCUAAAUUUUAGGAAAAUUUUCAAAAAUAUCCUUGUAGUUUGCUGAAAUAUCGAGAUUAUCCUUGUAUUCUUGAUAAUUGCAAAAUUGUCUCUCAUAGCUUUGAUAAUAUCUAACCUACCCAUGAUCCUCAUAACCUCUCAUUCAAAAUCCAAAUUUAGUGCGAAUUGGACCCAAAGCGUGUGCUGCACAUACUUCAAUGCAACACUAAACUUGUUUUUCCAUGUGGUCUUAAAUUCUUUGUUGACAAUACUAUUGCUUGCCAUGCUCGCUGCUCAUUGAUAACUUGGUUUUCCACCAUUCAAUUCAAUAAAGCACACGAUAUAAAAUAAGACCACAACCAACUACAACAACAAAUGAAUAUAAUGUUUAUGAUAUAAUAUCAUAAACACUUGAAUUCAAAAGUUAUAUACCGAAUUGGUGGAAUUGUAAUUGUUUUUUAGAAAAUGAAAAUGAAUAAAAGAUAUAAUAGUAUUGUAAUAAUGAAUCUUUAUUACAAUACUAUUAUAUCUUUUAUUCAUUUUAUUAAAAGUACUGUAUAAUUUUUAAAAAAUAUUUAUUAAUAUUAAUCAUUAAAAAUAUAUAUAUAAGUAUAUAUAUAUAUAUAUAUAUAUAUAUUUACAAAAAUAAAGUUAUAAAUCCUAUAAGUUGGAAAUUUGGUUCUAAGAAAAUAAAUUCUACAGCUUAAAAUUAUCUUAUAAUCAAAAAAUAUAUGUGUAUAUAUAUAUAUAUAUAUAUAUAUAUUUAUAAUCUUGAUAUUUCUUGUAGUUAUAAAUUGAUUGUAGAUGAAGCAUUGAGAGUUGUGUAUUAGUAUUAGUUUUGUACACUAGUAUGUUUUUUUAUAGCAACAAUUGAUAUGAUUUACUUAGUUACUUCAAUGAAAAAUCAUCAAAAUUGACAUAUAUACUACAAUAUUAAACAAACUAUAUUUAUGUAAUAACAACUUUGUAUAUUUCUCAGAAACAAAAUCUAAAACUCGUGGAAUAUAAUCCACCCAAUUUGUAAUCCAUAUUCAAAUACGUGUAUAUAAAUAAAUAAAUUGUCAGUAUUGAUUCUAUUUUAACUCUAAUAAGAAGAAUGUAUUAUAUAUUGUGACAAUAGACACACCUUCAAAUUAUUGGUUUGGAGUACAAUUUUUAUUCUAUUUAUUUUUAAUCAUAUAAAAAAAAACAUGAAUAAAAAAGAAUGAGGAACUUGUGGCAUUGGAUGUCUACUACGUGUAGUUCAAACAUGAAUAUUAAAGACAAAUGUGCAUAUCCAAGAGUAUUGAUAAUGUCCCUUCAAAGCUCAUAAUUCAUGACUUUUUUGUAAAUAGUUCAUAAGAAGCAACAUUGUUGAGCUUUAAUGGAAGAGCUCCAUCUAAAAAUAUCCUAAAUUUUGAUUAAUCAGAAUUUAGUAGGAUUCAAUAAGAAUUUGCUAAAGAAUUUGUUAGGGAUAAUUAGUUUAUUUCUGGAUUUAAUAAUUAUUUAUUUGGAAUUUAUUUUAAAUUUAUUAGAAUUCAAUAAGAUGUAUUUAAGAUUUUUAUAAGAUUAUUAGAAUGUACUUAGGAUAUUUUAGAACUUUCUUAGAUUUUUUGAGAUUGCCAAAAAGAUAUUUUUAAACAUCUUAUGUAUUGUUCUUUGGAUAAUAAAUCCAACUUCAAGGUAAGUUAAAAUCCUUCCUUAUUUAGAUGCCUAGUACAUUCUAAGGUCCAAUUUCAUAUUUUUUAACACUAAAAAGUUGUAGAAUAUGUUCUUUAACAAAAACAAAUCCUCUAAGGCUACUUAUAUCUCACUUAAGACAAUAUAAAUAAAAAUAAAAAUUGUUGCAUUUAAAAUAUUCAAUGCUUUAGAUGCCUAAAUUAUAUCACUAAUUAAUCAAAAUUCUAAUCCAACUCAAAACAGAAGCAAAAAAAAAAAAAAAAAAAAAAAAAAAAAAACUUUAGACUAUACCAAUUUUUACAUCAAGCACAUUAUAUUCUAACAUAUUUAAAUACUUAUAUAUUUAUAAUUAUAUGAAAUAUAUAUAUAUAUAUAUAUAUAUAUUAUAAUUAUUUUUUAAGAUCAAUAUCUAAAAUAAACUUUUACUGAUAUUUUUAUUUAUUAAAAAUAUAUAAAUAAUAUAAAAUUAUUCAUAAAAAUUAUAAAAUAAUAUUAUGAUUUUUUAGUGAUUUAUGUAAAAAAUAGGAUUUUAGUUGAUUAAAAUUAAAAUAUUUAUGUAAAAAAUAAUACAAAAAUUUAUAAUAAUAUAGUUUAAAUUUAAUACUAGCAUCUUUAAAAAAUUGUAAGAAAUUUUAGAACUUCUAUUAAAUAAAAAAAAAAUUAAAUUUGUAAUUUUUGGAAAUUUUAUUUAGAAUAAUUUAACCACCUUGGGGGGGGGGGCAUUAUUAAAAAUUGGAGGAAGAUUUAAAAUUUUCAUGAUAUUUCAAGGCUAAUUAGUUAUUUUUAAUACCAUGGUGUCAAGGACAAGAACUCGAUGAAAAAACAAUUCAGACAAGUGUACCUUCACUCAAAAAAAGGUAACAAAAUAUAAAUAAACAAGUAUGUAU
rnacentral:lncRNA from 1 species